GGAAGAAACGGUGCUAAGCGCGUGUACCUAGGUGAAAAGACAAUUUUGAGUCUAUAGCUAAUUAAAUGAAGCAAACUUAGCAACACCAUUUCAUUGGAAGAGGUCACUCCUUGGCAAAUGCAAUCUAUCUAUCUAUACCUAUACUAAUUACAGACUCCCAAAAAAUUACCACGUUAAUUAGAUUUUACGAGUCGUUCAUCUGGUGGGACCGAAUUAUUACGGUGUAGAUUUAAUCAUAGAGUCCUCAUCUAGAAAAAGACACUUUUCACACAAAGGAAAAAAAACAGAUACCAUGAGAUCUUAAAUCUGUUACGAUCUAAUACAAUAGCUAACCAUCUCUCACACGAUUUGAUUGUGUAAAAAAAACCAUCACAGCCCGCACAUGUACGUGACCCAACCUACACAUAAUUACUGCAUGCGUUCUAUUUCUCCAUGGACAUAACCCCCAUACAGUCUCCUCCCCGUAGGCAUCUCCCCCCUUGCUCACACAAUUGUCUUUCUCCUGUCCUUCUGAUCAUCAAGAUUGUGUUAGAUCUACAGCAAAUCCAAUUCCACCAGGUCAUGCGCUCAUUGCGAUCGGCCUUGCUUCUUCCCGCCGGUGCCAUCAGCCCGUCUCUCUCUCUCUCUCUCUCUCUCUCUCUCUCUCUCUAUAUAUAUAUAUAUAUAUAUAUAUAUAUAUAUAUAUAUAUAUAUAUAUAUAUAUAUAUAUAUAUAUAUAUAUAUAUAUAUAUAUAUAUAUAUCAUCCUCGAGGACGCUGCCAGCUGCUGUCACUUUCAUCAGACAAUCUUCAGCAACCACUACAUAUCCUUGCCUCCCAGGUACACAAUUAGUGUUUUUGGUUCUUAUGAUUUCAAGUAGAACUGAUCCCAUCCAUUAUUCAGAUUUUGACAUUGUCAUACUGAGUUGUGUGUACCAGAAUUACGAGCAAUUUAUUCUCAUUAGAUGCAAACUUGAGAGAUUUAGUCAUAAAGUCAGGACAGUCAUAUGGGAUCAUCUUAAUUGAAAGAAGAGUAAUGUAACACUCUUUACCAAUGACUGAUGUGCUAACAAUAGAUGGUUCUAUCAAUUUUCUGUGCAUCUAUCACGCAACAGAAUCAGUUAACUAUAUAGGCAGGAACAAAGAAGGUGUAUCAGAUCUGCUCUUAUGAUGGAAUCAAGGGAAAUAACUUCCUGGAGUCACCUACGAGGUAAGCAGACCAUAUAGUUUAUUUUUUAGAUGGGGUUCGGUUGAUUUAUUAAUUUUCAUGAUGAAGCUCUGUCGCUUUACCUUUUUGAUUGCUAUUUUGGCUGACAGACCAGAACUAAUCUGUUUACUGAUAAGAGUUUGGGGCUAUUCAUAUAGUUUCUAUUAGUGUCGCAAGUUGGAUCUAAAUUCUCUUUUAUCUAUGUAAGGAGUGCGUUUUUAUUUCUGUACAAACCUGAUAUUCAUAUGGUUUUACCAUAGCUGUGUAGAAUGCGAGCAAGCAAAGUUGAUUAGUAACACACCUAGAAACAAAUGGAUUGAGGCCAUGGAUAAAUCUGUAAAUCUGGUAAGUGAAUACUCAGUUGUUAGUAAUUUUGAGCGCUGAGAUUUAAAUACCAAUGGGCACUACUUAUGAUCUCACCAAAAAAGGAAUUUCUAAUAUUCAGAUUUCUUAUGGAUGGCAAAUAAAAAAAUCCAGUUUAUGGAUGUGAAAAAUUGCAAUCAAGAAACAAUAUACUGUAGCCUGCAUAGAUUCCCAGAUAUAAUCAAGUCUUAGUACAUGAGGUAUGGGUACGACAUGUCAAAAAACAUGUGCAUGCAUACUCACCUUUCUUUUCUAUCCAGUCAUACAUGUGUGAAUCUUAGAACGUACAAGUAGUCAACUGAACAUAUUUAUAUCUAUUUUCAUGCACAUACUCAUCAUCAUACAUGUACUUUCUUAUGAUUAUUGUUCUCUUCCACACAUUUCUGAUGAAGAGACUGUAUCGAGUUAGAUCCGGCGGCACAGAGAAAAAUGAGGUUUGCAUGCUGGUGAUGAACAUCAUGGACUGAUUAUGUAAUUGGUUGCCUGUACAAGUUAUACAAAAUUGGGCGACGAAGUGCAAUGCAGGACCAUCCACUAUGCAGUGAAUAAUCUUUUAAGCAUCACCCUGCCCAGCCAUUUGAUCAGGUAAAUACUAUGUGUUGUCUCUCCGUGCGGUUUGUCAAUGAAAGCAUUGUUUAGCCAAUCCAGCCAGGGUGCAUACGGGAAUCUCUUCUUGGCUGCGGCACCAUCACGGCCGAGGAUGAGGUGAUAAGCUCGCCAUUAAGCAACUGGUCUAGUGAUGAAUUAAGCGUGUGAAGAAUCUUUUGAUCUGAGGUAGUAUAAUAUUGUUCUUGUUUAAUAACAAUGCAUUUUUAGCAUGCACCUCUUUAUGCUAUUUGUCUGCAAGUAGCGUUCAUGAACGGAAGACGGCGGUGAAGUAGCUAAUUGACUACGCAAGACAAAGAACUCACAUGUGUUAGUCCGUGGUGGCCAAAAAAGCGCACAUAUAUUAUACCCUCUGAAAUCACUCAAGCUAUGUGAUUUGUUUGGAGCAUGGAGAUUCGCUUAAUGAAAACAGUUUCAUGUUUUUAUCACAGAUUUCAGCUUUGCAGAUUUUCAUAUUUUAUACCGUAUCAUGACACUUUGUCUUCCACCACCAAUCUCCAUUGAUUCUCUCCCAUAUCCCUCAACUCUAACACUUAGCUUAAAACAUCCAAUUCUAUCGAUAAGAUCCGUGUCUCCCUUGAUCGCUAAUCAAGUUUCCAUCCGAUAGAUCUGAAUAUCUGAUAGAUAGAUGGAAACAUAAGUUUUCAUUCAUAAAUAGUAAGGAUUUAGAUUAAUAGUGAACAUCAUAUCUGUGUUAGUGAGAUUUUGUACUCAUAUAGAUUCGGUACAGACCCAAGGCUCUUGAAAGCUUGCGCAUAAGGGAUACACUCUAGUAUUUACAGAAUCUUCCGUAUGGGUCAAUAUUAAGAUCUGAAGACCUAUUAGCCCUGUGAACCAAGCCCUAAUCUGUAUCAUAAAAUGUACACUUGAGGGUGCCAAAUUGAAAAUUACACAAUGGACAUUCCUUGAUCCACAAAUAUUCUAGCUUCUUCAUCAGGUUCAUGGUAUGCAGCUUCUCCAUUAUGCAAUGGCUCCAAGCAGUCAAGUAGGCAAUAUAUUACCAAUCAUAAAUGCAGGAAAUUUAUAGAUGAAGACCUUGAUAUGUUAAGAAUAAUUUUAUAUAAUGUACCUUCUAAAUUGGUUUGCUCAACAAUGGGCUCAAACACUGCAUAUGGAUCAUUUGUGUGGUCAUUCCCACUGGAAAAUCAUAAAAGCAGUAGAGCACAACAAUGUAAGUAUUAUAGUAGACGUAGGAUCGGCAUAAGUAAUUAGCAGAUUUGUAGUGUUUUGAGUACCAUGCGGAGACGGUUCGACAAGGACUCUUGUAUCAUUAUACGGCAUAUUUUCAAGUGGAUUGGAGCCGGUAAAAGGCUCUAUACCUGAACAAAGGAAAGAGAACCCAGAUUUAUGGUCAAAUAAACAUUGUCGACACAUUUGCAUCAUAAUUAAAUCAACGAACUAACAUGCAUCUUCAAUGGUGCAAUCUGGGUCACGUAUUCUGCAGAGUUGGGGUAACUUAACCCCUGAAAUUUGGAUGUGAGUGUCUGCAUUCAAAUUAUAUUUUAUCCACAAGUUAGCACACGAGCAACAACAAAAACAGUAGCACAAAUUAGGAAUUGGUUGAUGAUACUCACACAAUGGUUGGUUGUUGCUUAAAUCCUGAAAUAGGGUACGCGCCCGUGCACGACUGGGAGAUGACAUACCGUGGUCUUCAUGUGAAUAUUCAUGUCAUUAAAUUGUUACAAGCAUGGAUAUUGUGCAAAGAAGUAUGAACAUCAACAUCACGUGCUGGUUUUAUAUUAGUGACAGGCAGAUAAGCAAUAUCUGUUUCAUCUUUGUAAACACACCACACUGUCCUUUUUGUUGAUAUUGUGUUUCAGUAGAGUUGUACAAUGUGCACAAGUCGCUAUUUUAAAUUCUGAAAGCCAACUUUUUUUCGACACCAGGAGCAGGAGAUAGGGUGCAUGCUUUAGUUAGAAAAACAGAUAAGGUGCAAUGGCUAAUUAUUUAGAACUCUAUUCUCAAACAUCUAAUAAUCAUGAGUAAUGUUGCAACAGGUAGGAAGAAGUCGAACCUGAAGAAGUACAUGGUGGAAUCACAGCUGCGUGUGGCCGGCUGGUUCAGGGGACGCAGCGGGCGUGGGUGCAGGGCGGCCGCUGACGCGGCAGCAGGGCCAGUGCCGGGGCAGGCUCUAUCUCUCCUGGGCGCUGGCGAUCUCACGGGAUGGAUGCCACGCUGUGAGCGGCAACAAUCGGCGAUGGCGAUCAUGCAGGGAGGCGACGGAGCGGUGUAGUGCAGUGCGGCGAGGUGGCCGUGCAGGCAGGAGACGCUGUUGGUGGGUGGCGUCUGGCACCAAGUCGUCGUCGUGCCAGACGAUGAGGUCGACAUGAGUGACAACAAUCGGUGAUGGCGAUCAGGGAGGUGACGGAGCGGUGCAGUCCGGUGAGGUCACCGUGCAGGCAGGAGACGUUGUUGGUGGGCGGCGUCUCGCACCAAGUCACCGUCGUGCCAGACGAUGAGGUCGAGAUCAAGGGCAUGGAGUUGCCUUAGUUUGCGAUCAAUUUUCGUGAUUGUAGGGACGCAGACUGGUAGUUCCAGUACAAGUACAAGGGCGUGGAGUUGCCUUAGUUUGCGAUCAGAUUUCCGUGAUUGUAGGGCCGUGGGAUUGGUAGUUCCAGUCUGCUCCUGGUGAAGCACGGUGAGUCAUUGGAAAUUGCUACAUGCACACCAUAGAGGUAUUAGAUCAAUGAUGGCUGUUAGAUUUAGAAUUGUGGGCCUAAUCGAGUGGUGCUGAUUGGUAUGUGCGGGUUUGUGGGACUAAUUGCUUGGUGCAUCUAAAAAAGUUCUUGCUUGAUUGUUUAAUAGUUGAUGAAUGAAUUAGACACACCUUUUAAAAUUAGGCUCACUCGCAGUCUCUCCACCGCCCCCGCGGGGUACGCCCAAAUCUCCACGCCAUUCCCCAUUCUCCUGGUCGCGCUCCCCCUUUAGGUAGCUCCUCCCCUUCGUCCCCACAGCCGACGCGAGGUCCGCACGCCCCUUCACAUUGAUCCGGUCCCCGAAGUCCCCGAGGAGGCACUCGAGCUCGGCAUGCUCGCGAGCGACCCAUUGCAAGGGGCCAUCUGAGGCGGAAGCGGUGGCCCGGGAUUCGUCUCAUCCGCAUCGGCGGCCGCGGCCAUCCAGUGCUGGCGUUGCCCGAGCACGGAGCAGGCCCCGACACCUCAACAGCUGGAGCAGUUCGGGUGCUUCGCUUUCACCGGCGAGCUGCCCCUGCCUGCCCCCAGAUGUGCGUCGGCCCGCGGAGGGGAGGGGUCGAAGAAGCAAAAGCGCUGGUAGGGGAGGAGACGGAGAGGAGGCGGAAUGAGGUUCUAGAUGGUUCUGGCGGUGCGAAUAACCCAGGCGUCGCGCCCAUCAUCGCCUUUGCCGGCUGCGAGAACUCCCGCUCCACGCGCCAAUGGCAGCUGGUAAGCCCACGCGUAACUACAAAAUUUCAGAAUUUGGUUCUACUAACUAUAAUAUUUUUUUCCUGUGAGUUAUAGUACGAGGUUGUACUAACUAAAUUUCUUACUAUGAGUUGUACUGACGUGCAGCCGGUAACUUAGUUGGUUACAGAGGGAGUAUCUUAACUCAACUGAUAGUGUACUAUUUCUUCCUAUCAGUAGCAGCAAUGAUAUCUUUUGUUAUGAAUAUAGACCAGAUUUAAGAUCUGAUGCCUACAUUACCAUUAAGCAUAUGUAGUGAACUCUUUUCUCCAUGUAGUUGGUACUGUAAGCUCUUUUCUCUAACUUGUUCCUAUUUUACCUUUUUCGUAGCGAGAUACAGUGGUACAUACAAAAGUCUGAACUGAAAUGGAUAGCUGUAGUUCUCAUUGCAGAGUGGUACUCCCUCUGUAAAGUGUUCUUGUAUUUCUUUGUGGGGGAAGUAUGUGUUUGCUUUACAUUGUCAAAAAAAGAACUGUUUGGUUUACAAGGUUUUAGGAUUCCUUUUAGGUGAUGUUGUCAAAAUCAUAGCUCCUGUAUUGAAGUAUGAUAUGGAUCUAUGAUAUUUCUCCUCUGCAGGGACCAAGGGAUAUGUGAAAUUGACAAGGAAAAGAAAACUUCAGAUGUGAACACCUCUGUUAAGUACUAUCUUUAUUUCAUUAUUACUAAUGUGUCCCCUGAUAGCUCGAUCUCUUCCAUACAUACAUAUAUGGUUAUUUCAGUCAUGUGCUAUAUUUGUCUCGUAAAGUCAGUGCCCGUCAAUACUUUCUUUCGCUAAUCAAGUUUCCAUCUGAUAGAUCUGAUAGAUAGAUGGAAACAUAAGUUUUCAUUCAUAAAUAGUAAGGAUUUAGAUUAAUAGUGAACAUCAUAUCUGUGUUAGUGAGAUUUUGUACUCAUAUAGAUUCGGUACAGACCCAAGGCUCUUGAAAGCUUGCGCAUAAGGGAUACACUCUGGUAUUUACAGAAUCUUCCGUAUGGGUCAAUAUUAAGAUCUGAAGACCUAUUAGUCCUGUGAACCAAGCCCUGAUCUGUAUCAUAAGAUGUACACUUGAGGGUGCCAAAUUGAAAAUUACACAAUGGACAUUCCUUGAUCCACAAAUAUUCUAGCUUCUUCAUCAGGUUCAUGGUAUGCAGCUUCUCCAUUAUGCAAUGGCUCCAAGCAGUCAAGUAGGCAAUAUAUUACCAAUCAUAAAUGCAGGAAAUUUAUAGAUGAAGACCUUGAUAUGUUAAGAAUAAUUUUAUAUAAUGUACCUUCUAAAUUUGUUUGCUCAACAAUGGGCUCAAACACUGCAUAUGGAUCAUUUGUCUGGUCAUUCCCACUGGAAAAUCAUAAAAGCAGUAGAGCACAACAAUGUAAGUAUUAUAGUAGACGUAGGAUCGACAUAAGUAAUUAGCAGAUUUGUAGUGUUUUGAGUACCAUGCGGAGACGGUUCGACAAUGACUCUUGUAUCAUUAUACGGCAUAUUUUCAAGUGGAUUGGAGCCGGUAAAAGGCUCUAUACCUGAACAAAGGAAAGAGAACCCAGAUUUAUGGUCAAAUAAGCAUUGUCGACACAUUUGCAUCAUAAUUAAAUCAACGAACUAACAUGCAUCUUCAAUGGUGCAAUCUGGGUCACGUAUUCUGCAGAGUUGGGGUACCUUAACCCCUGAAAUUUGGAUGUGAGUGCCUGCAUUCAAAGUAUAUUUUAUCCACAAGUUAGCACACGAGCAACAACAAAAACAGUAGCACAAAUUAGGAAUUGGUUGAUGAUACUCACCCAAUGGUUAGUUGUUGCUUAAAUCCUGAAAUAGGGUACGCGCCCGUGCACGACUGGGAGAUGACAUACCGUCGUCUUCAUGUGAAUAUUCAUGUCAUUAAAUUGUUACAAGCAUGGAUAUUGUCAUAUAAGUAUGAACAUCAACAUCAAGUGCUGGUUUUAUAUUAGUGACAGGCAGAUAAGCAAUAUCUGUUUCAUCUUUGUAAACAUACCACACUGUCCUUUUUGUUGAUAUUGUGUUUCAGUAGAGUUGUACAAUGUGCACAAGUCGCUAUUGUAAAUUCUGAAAGCCAACUUUUUUUCGACACCAGGAGCAGGAGAUAGGGUGCAUCGUUUAGUUAGAAAAACAGAUAAGGUGCAAUGGCUAAUUAUUUAGAACUCUAUUCUCAAACAUCUAAUAAUCAUGAGUAAUGUUGCAACAGGUAGGAAGAAGUCGAACCUGAAGAAGUACAUGGAGGAAUCACAGCUGCGUGUGGCCGGCUGGUUCAGUGGACGCGGCGGGCGCGGGUGCAGGGCGGCCCCUGACGCGGCAGCAGGGCCAGUGUUGGGGCAGGCUCUAUCUCUCCCGGGCGCUGGCGAUCUCGCAGGAUGGAUGCCACGCUGUGAGCGGCAACAAUCGGCGAUGGCGAUCAUGCAAGGAUGCGACGGAGCGGUGCAGUGCAGUGAGGCGAGGUGGCCGUGCAGGCAAGAGACGCUGUUGGUGGGUGGCGUCUGGCACCAAGUCGCCGUCGUGCCGGACAAUGAGGUCGACAUGAGUGGCAACAAUCGGCGAUGGCGAUCAGGGAGGUGACGGAGCGGUGCCGUGCGGCGAGGUCACCGUGCAGGCAGGAGACAUUGUUGGUGGGCGGCGUCUGGCACCAAGUCACCGUCGUGCCAGACGAUGAGGUCGAGAUCAAGGGCAUGGAGUUGCCUUAGUUUGCGAUCAGUUUCCGUGAUUGUAGGGAUGCGGACUGGUAGUUCCAGUACAAGUACAAGGGCGUGGAGUUGCCUUAGUUUGCGAUCAGAUUUUCGUGAUUGUAGGGGCCGCGGGAUUGGUAGUUCCAGUCCGCUCCUGGUGAAGUAUGGUCAGUCAUUGGAAAUUGCUACGUGCACACCAUAGAGGUAUUAGAUCAAUGAUGGCUGUUAGAUUUAGAAUUGUGGGCCUAAUCGAGUGGUGCUGAUUGGUUUGUGCGGGUUUGUGGGACUAAUUGCGGGGUGCACCUAAAAAAGUUCUUGUUUGAUUGUUUAAUAGUAUAAAUAAUAAAUAAAUAUAAAUAUUGAUUGUUUAAUAGUAUAAGUAUAGAUUUGUCAGCUACCUUAAGCUGCGCUACUGCAAGAAGAAUAUUGUGUUGCCUAAAAAGACAAGAAUAUUGCAUCAAUUUUUCAGUGUCGACAAAAGUACACCGCAGUCCAUCCGUAUUAGCGUGCUACAAUUUCACAGCAGAGCAUUGUAGGCAUCUUUUUGCCCAGAAAUUUAUCUGCUAAUCUGGGUUGAACACAUGACAUCUCUUUUUAUCCAAGAGUAUAUUUAGGGUCUACGCUUUCAUGUUGCUCCAUUCUUUUUCUGAAAGGAUUGCCCAAUGUUUGUCAGAGCUUCAUUAUGUAAGCUCGGUACAUUGCCCUGUCCGGGUCUUAUUGUGUACAUUCAUACAUUCAAAUUUGGUUGCGUCCUUCUAUUAAGUGCCACAGAUUACAGGGAGCCCCUAUUUCACGCGUAGGUCGGUGAAUAGCGACCAACCUGAAAUCCACCCCCCCACCCCCCGCGUUGCCGCCCCUCCGCGCAUUUUGGGCCGGCCCAAAUGGGGCUUAGCGCUCCUUUUUGUUGUUUUUUUCAUUUUUCUUCUGUCAUUUUAAUUUUUGUUUCUUCUUUUUUUGUUUUUAUUUUUUCUUAGAGAACUGUUCACGAAUCUCAAUUUCAAGAAAAUGUUUGAGAUUUAAAGAAAUUCUUAAUUUCAAAAACUUUACACUAAUUUUUUAGAAAAAACAUGAAUUAAAAAAUAUACAAAAAUUUGAAAAAUGUUUAAUGAAUUCAAGAAAUAUCAUGAGUUCAAAAAAUGUUCUUGAUCCUAAAAUAAAUGUUACUGAAUUUCAAAAAAGUUCAUUGAUUCAAAAAAUGUUGAUAAGUUUCAAAAAAGAUUUAUCAAUUUAAAAAUAUUCAUAAAUUUCCAGAAAUGAUCUAAGAUUUGAAAAUGGCUUGUGAGUUAAAAAAGUUUAUUUUAGGAGAACGCAGAAAUGAUCCAGAAAUGAUCCAGAAAUGUUGAUAAGUUCCAGAAAUGAUCACGACUUUGAAAAAAAGUUUGAGCACUUGCAAAAUAAAAAAGAAUUAAAGGAAAUAAAAAUGGAAAAUAAAACAAAACAACGGAGAAAAAACCGGUAGAAAGAAGCAAGAAAAAAAGGGAGGCUGCCACCAAUGGCGAGGAAGAGUAAAACACGGGAGGCUGCAACCGAUAACGAGGAAGAGUAAAACAUAGGAGAACGCAACCGAUAGCGAGGAAGAGUAGAACGUGGGAGGCUGUCACUGCUUGGGUCUCAAGAAAGCCACCGCCAAAGUCUUGUUGGGCCUCACAGCCGGUGAGCUUGCCCGCUUCACAGAGGUGGAGGCCACUAUUUCAUCCCCUCAUGCUGAAGCUAAACUUGGUGGGCGCAUCGCCCAUCAGUGAGCUUGCCCGAUUCGUGGAGGCGAAGACUACUCUUCCCUUUAUGUUGAAGCUUCAUUUUCUGGGGUUCAGGGCCAUUCGGUGUGCUUGUUGUUGGACAUGGGAAAAACAUGUAGUGCAAAACGUGUGUCGCCACUGCCGGCGAUCUUUUAGACUAGAUUAGAAUAGCCUAGUCGGCUAUAGUUUAGUUGAAAUAUGUCGAGAAUGUAAUGUGCCUGCUCCAGUUUAGAUGAAAAUGAUCCGGUUUUAUGUACGAAUUCUCUAAGUUCGUAUGAAAAUUGUCCAGUUUGUUUAAGUUUACAUCAAAUGUGACUGGGCGUUUGCAACUACCUUUGGAUGAUCGGUUCCCAUAUUAGUGUCCGGACCGGUCCGUAGACAUAUCCAGUGUCCGUCUUAGGGAUCCGUGUUAGAGAUACCCUAACAUAUAUAUGCAUGUUACUAGACUAAACUAUUAAUGCACACGUGCAACACACAUUAAUAUUUAGGCAAUAUAUUAAUUGCACGUGGAUAUUACGUACGAUAGUAUUUAUGUGUUAAUUCUGUGAUUAGUGUAAUAUUUGGUAUGAUAUUAAUUGCAUGUUAAACACGUUGAACGCUCGCUAUUGGAGCAGUCUAGGUCGUUGGAAUGACUUAAUUUGAUGGUCGAGAUCAAUUGGAUCUACCCCUUUGAGUCUUUUUAUAUUGAUAUAGAUAAAUUAUUUCCCACUACAACAUGUUUGGAUUAUCGUGUUGUUUUUGAAGACACCUAAAUAAUACACGUCUCAGCUCAUCGUUUUGUCUCCGACCGAAAAUUCCUAAGCAUCUAGUAAGAUUCUAGUGUAAAAUAAACACCUUCGUAUUAUUAAACUACAAUAAUUCCAAGCGCGGCCUAACUCGUAUCUACACGGAGAGUCGGCACCAUGGGACAUCGUCAUUGCGAUGUUAGCAUGUGGGCCAUGUAACACCCCCUGUAUGGGUUGUCACCUUGUGGUUUGUACCUGCGUGUGGGCUAUAAGAUGGCCCAAGGGGUAUCCUUGUGUGGGCCUGGUAGGAAGAGUAUAUGUAUCGCGUUUGUUACACCAUUCCCCUAAAAAAUCUAAGGAACUCAUUGUGCAGAAUGCAUCAAUGAUACUUUGCUGGUGGUAAUCCCCAUGGUAACAAACCCAAUGCUUAUUUCUCAGUUCAAGCUCAUAAGUUUGAGUAAUGUGCUCUACCAGAUAACAUCAAAGGUGAUAGCAAACAUGAUGAAAGUUAUCCCGCGCGACAUUAUCUCUAAGGAACAAUCAACAUUUGUGCCUGGAAGGCUCAUUACAGAAAACGUCAUUAGUUUUGAUGAAUGUAUUCACUUCAUGAAAAGAAGCAAAUCCGAGGACAACAGCUAUUGUGCUCUCAAGCUAGACAUGAUGAAAGCGUUGUUGGGGAAUGCAUCAAUUUCAAAAAAAAUCCUAGGAUCACGCAAGAUCUAUCUAUGUGAUGCAUAGCAAUGAGAGGGGAGAGUGUGUCCACGUACCCUCCUAGACCGAAAGCAGAAGCAUUUAAUUAACGCGGUUGAUGUAGUCGAACAUCUUUGCGAUCCAACCGAUCCAAGUACCGAACGUACGGCACCUCUGCGUUCAGCACAUGUUCAGCUCGAGGACGUCCCUCGUACUCUUGAUCCAGUUGAGGCCGAGGGAGAGUUUCAUCAGCACGAAGGCGUGGUGACGGUGAUGAUGAAGUUACCGGCGUAGGACUUUGCCUAAGCACUACGAUGAUAUGACCGAGGUGUGUAACCGUGGAGGGGGGCACCACACACGGCUAAACAAUGUCAACUUGUGUGUCUAUGGGGUGCCCCCCUCCCCCGUAUAUAAAUGAGUUGAGGAGGGGAAAGGGCCGGCCCUCUGUGGCGCGCCCUAGAGGAGUCCUACUCCCACUGGGAGUAGGAUUCCCCCCCCCCUUCCCUAGUUGGAGUAGGAGAGGAAGGAAGGGGCAGGAAGGAGGAAAGAAAGGGGGGUUGGCCCCCCACCCAAUUCGGAUUGGGCUUGGGCGGGCGCGCACCCUCCUAGGCUCCCUUCUCCUCUCUCCCACUAUGGCCCAAUAAGGCCCAUANNNNNNNNNNNNNNNNNNNNNNNNNNNNNNNNNNNNNNNNNNNNNNNNNNNNNNNNNNNNNNNNNNNNNNNNNNNNGGGGGUCCGUAACCUCCCAGUACUCCGGUAUAUGCCCGAACUCACCCGAAACCAUUCCGAUGUCCAAACAUAGGCUUCCAUUAUAUCGAUAUUUAUGUCUCUACCAUUUAGAGACUACUCGUCAUGUCCGUGAUCACAUCCGGGACUCCGAACUACCUUCGGAGCAUCAAAACACAUAAACUCAUAAUACCAAUCGUCAUUGAACGUUAAGCGCGCGGACCCUACAGGUUCGAGAACUAUGUAGACAUGACCUAGACACGUCUCCGGUCAAUAACCAAUAGCGGAACCUGGAUGCUCAUAUUGUUUCCUACAUAUUCUACGAAGAUCUUUAUCGGUCAAACCACAUACAACAUACAUUAUUCCCUUUGUCAUCGGUAUGUUACUUGCCCGAGAUUCGAUCGUCGGUAUCUCAAUACCUAGUUCAAUCUCGUUACCGGCAAGUCUCUUUACUCGUUCCGUAAUACUUCAUCCCGCAACUAACUCAUUUGUCACAAUUCUUGCAAGGCUUAUAGUGAUGAGUAUUACCGAGAGGGACCAGAGAUACCUCUCAAAACAUGGAGUGACAAAUCCUAAUCUCGAUAUAUGACAACCCAACAAACACCUUCGGGGACACCUGUAGAGCACCUUUAUAAUCACCCUUUUACGUUGUCACGUUUGGUAGCACACAAAUUGUUGCUCCGGUAUCCGGGAGUUGCAUAAUCUCAUAGUCUGAGGAACUUGUAUAAGUCAUGAAGAAAGCAGUAGCAAUGAAACUAACAUGAUCAUAAUGCUAAGCUAACGGAUGGGUCAUGUCCAUCACGUCAUUCUCCUAAUGAUGUGACCCCGUUCAUCAAAUGACAACACAUGCCUAUGGUUAGGAAACUUAACCAUCUUUGAUUAACAAGCUAGUCAAGUAGAGGCAUACUAGGGACUAUAUGUUUUGUCUAUGUAUUCACUCAUGUACUAAGUUUCCGGUUAAUACAAUUCUAGCAUGAAUAAUAAACAUUUAUCAUGAAUUAAGGAAAUAAAUAAUAACUUUAUUGUUGCCUCUAGAGCAUAUUUCCUUCAGUCUCCCACUUGCACUAGAGUCAAUAAUCUAGAUUACAUAGUAAUGAUUCUAACACCCAUGGAGCUUUGGUGUUGAUCAUGUUUUGCUCGUGGGAGAGGCUUAGUCAACUGGUCUGCAACAUUCAGAUCCGUGUGUAUCUUGCAAAUCUCCAUGUCCCGUUCCGACACUUGAUGACAGAUGGAAUUGAAGCGUCUCUUGAUGUGCUUGGUUCUAUUGUGAAAUCUGGAUUCCUUUGCCAAGGCAAUUGCACCAUUAUUGUCACAAAAGAUUUUUAUUGGACCCGAUGCACUAGGUAUGACACCUAGAUCGGAUAUGAACUCCUUCAUACAAACUCCUUCAUUCGCUGCUUCUGAAGUAGCAAUGUACUCCGCUUCACAUGUAGAUCCCGCCACGACGCUCUGCUUGGAACUGCACCAACUGACAACUCCUCCAUUCAGUAAAAAUAUGUAUCCGGUUUGUGAGUUAGAGUCAUCCGGAUCAGUAUCAAAGCUUGCGUUGAUGUAACCAUUUACGACGAGCUAUUUUUCACCUCCAUAAACAAGAAACAUAUCCUUAGUCCUUUUCAGGUAUUUCAUGAUGUUUUUGACCGAUGUCCAGCGCUCCACUCCGGCAUUACUUUGGUACCUCCCUGCUAUGCUUAUAACAAGACAUGCAUUAGGUCUGGUACACAGCAUUGCAAACAUGAUAGAACUUAUGGCUGAUGCAUACGGAAUGACUUCCAUUUUCUCUCUAUCUUCUGCGGCGGUCGGGCUUUGAGUUUGACUCAACUUCACACCUUGUAACACCUUGUAUCAAGGUCUGUGCUUUGUGAAAGUCCAAUUAAGCGUCUUGAUCUAUCUCUAUAGAUCUUGAUGCCCAAUAUGAAAGCAACUUCUCCAGAAAUUCUAUAUCAUUUCAAAUCAACAAUAUGUCAUCAACAUAUGAGAUCUGAAAUGCUACAGAGCUCCGACUCAGUUUCUUGUAAAUAUAGGCUUCUCCAAAAGUCUGUAUAAAACCAUAUGCUUUGAUCACACUAUCAAAGCAUUUAUGCCAACUCCGAGAGGCUUGCACCAGUCCAUAAAUGGAUCGCUGGAGCUUGCACACUUUGCUAGCACCCUUUGGAUCGACAAAACCUUCUGGUUGCAUCAUAUACAUCUCUUCUUCCAGAAAUCCAUUCAGGAAUGCAGUUUUUGACAUCCAUUCGCCAAAUUUCAUAUUCAUAAAAUGUAACAAUUGCUAACAUGAUUCGAACAGACUUAAUCAUCGCUACGGGCGAGAAAGUCUCAUCGUAGUCAACUCCUUCAACUUGUCGAAAACCUUUCGUAACUAGUCGAGCUUUGUAAACAGUAACAUUACCGUCUGCGUCCGUCUUCUUCUUAAAGAUCCAUUUUCUAUGGCUUGCCGAUCAUCGGGCAAGUCCACCAAAUUCCACACUCUGUUCUCAUACAUGGAUCCCAUCUCAGAUUUCAUGGCCUCAAGCCAUUUCGCGGAAUCUAGGCUCAUCAUCGCUUCCUCAUAGUUUGUAGGUUCAUCAUGGUCUAGUAACAUGACUUCCAAAACAGGGUUACCGUACCACUCUGGUGCAGAUCUUACUCUCAAAGACCUACGAGGUUCGGUAGUAACUUGAUCUGAAGCUUCAUGAUCAUCAUAAUUAGCUUCCUCACUAACUGGUGUAGGAAUCACAGGAACUAAUUUCUGCGAUGAACUACUUUCCAAUAAGGGAGCGGGUACAGUUACCUCAUCAAGUUCUACUUUUCUCCCACUCACUUCUUUCGAGAGAAACUCCUUCUCUAGAAAGGAUCCUUUCUUAGCAACAAAGAUUUUGCCUUUGGAUCUGUGAUAGAAGGUGUACCUAAAAGUUUCCUUUGGGUAUCCUAUGAAGACGCAUUUUCUCUGAUUAGGGUUCGAGCUUAUCAGGUUGAAGCUUUUUCACAUAAGCAUCGCAGCCCCAAACUUUAAGAAACGACAACUUUGGUUUCUUGCCAAACCACAAUUCAUAAGGCAUCGUCUCAAUGGAUUUUGAUGGUGCCCUAUUUAAAGUGAAUACAGCCGUCUCUAGAGCAUAACCCCAAAAUGAUAGCGGUAAAUCAGUAAGAGACAUCAUAGAUCGCACCAUAUCUAAUAAAGUACGGUUACGACGUCCGGACACACCAUUUCGAUGUGGUGUUCCAGGUGGCGUUAAAUGUGAAACUAUCCCAUGUUGUUUCAAAUGAAGAGCAAACUCGUAACUCAAAUAUUCUCCUCCAUGAUCAGAUCAUAGAAACUUUAUUUUCUUGUUACCAUGAUUUUCCACUUCACUCUAAAAUUCUAUGAACUUUUCAAAUGUUUCAGACUUAUGCUUCAUUAAGUAGAUAUAACCAUAUCUGCUCAAAUCAUCUGCGAAGGUAAGAAAAUAAUGAUACCUGCCACGAGCAUCAAUACUCAUUGGACCGCAUACAUCGGUAUGUAUUAUUUCCAACAAGUCAGUACCUCGUUCCAUUGUUCCGGAGAACGGAGUUUUAGUCAUCUUGCCCAUAAGGCACGGUUCGCAAGCACCAAGUGAUUCAUAAUCAAGUGAUUCCAAAAGUCCAUCCAUAUGGAGUUUCUUCAUGCGCUUUAUACCGAUAUGACCCAAACGGCAGUGCCACAAAUAAGUUGCACUAUCAUUAUUAAACAUUAAUAUUUUGGCUUCAACACUAUGAAUAUGUGUAUCACUACUAUUGAGAUUCAACAAAAAUAGACGACUCAGCAGGGGUGCAUGACCAUAAAAGAUAUUACUCAUAUAAAUAGAACAACCAUUAUUCUCUGACUUAAAUGAAUAACCGUCUCGCAUCAAACAAGAUCUAGAUAUAAUGUUCAUGCUCAACGCUGGCACCAAAUAACAAUUAUUCAUGUCUAAAAUUUUAAUCCCGAUGGUAGAUGUAGAGGUAGCGUGCCGACCGCGAUCACAUCGACUUUGGAACCAUUUCCACGCGCAUCGUUACCUCGUCCUUAGCCAAUCUUCGCUUAAUCCGCAGCCCCUGUUUUGAGUUGCAAAUAUGAGCAACAGAACCAGUAUCAAAUACCCAGGCGCUACUGUGAGCAUUAGUUAAGUACACAUCAAUAACAUGUAUAUAAAAUAUACCUUUCACUUUGCCAUCCUUCGUAUCCGCCAAAUACUUGGGGCAGUUCCACUUUUAGUGACCAGUCCCUUUGCAGUAAAAGCACUUAGUUUCAGGCUUAGCUCCAGACUUGGGUUUCUUCUCUUGAGCAGCAACCUUUUUGCCAUUCUUCUUGAAAUUCCCUUUCUUCCCUUUGCCCUUUUUCUUGAAACUGGUGGUCUUAUUGACCAUCAACACAUGAUGCUCCUUUUUGAUUUCUACCUCCGCGGCCUUUAGCAUCGCGAAGAGCUCGGUAAUAGUCUUGUUCAUCCCUUGCAUAUUAUAUUUCAUCACGAAGCUUUUGUAGCUUGGUGCUAGUGAUUGAAGAACUCUGUCAAUGACAUUAUCGUCAGCAAGAUUAACUCCCAGUUGAGUCAAGUGGUUGUGCUACCCAGACAUUCUGAGUAUUUGUUCACUGACAAAACUAUUCUCCUCCAUUUUACAGUUGUAGAACUUAUUGGAGACUUCAUAUCUCUCAAUCCGGGCAUUUGACUGAAAUAUUAACAUCAACUCCUGGAACAUCUCAUAUGCUCCAUGACGUUCAAAACGUCGUUGAAGUCCAGGUUCUAAGCCGUAAAGCAUGGCACACUAAACUAUCGAGUAGUCAUCAACACGCGUCUGCCAGGCAUUCACAAUGUCUGCAGUUGCGGGCGCGGGUGGUACACCUAACGGUGUUUCCAAGACGUAAUUCUUCUGUACAGCAAUGAGGAUAAGCCUCAAGUUAUGGACCCAAUCCGUGUAGUUGCUGCCAUCAUGUUUCAACUUAGCUUUCUCAAGGAACGCAUUAAAAUUCAAAGGAACGGUAGCACGGGCCAUUGAUCUACAACAACACAGACAUGCAAAAUACUAUCAGGUACUAAGUUCAUGAUAAAUUAAAGUUCAAUUAAUCAUAUUACUUAAGAACUCCCAGUUAGAUAGACAUCCCUCUAAUCAUCUAAGUUAUCACGUGAUCCAAAUCAACUAAACCAUGUCCGAUCAUCAUGUGAGAUGGAGUAGUUUUCAAUGGUGAACAUCACUAUGUUGAUCAUAUCUACUAUAUGAUUCAUGUUCGACCUUUCGGUGUCAGUGUUGCGAGGCCAUAUCUGCAUAUGUUAGGCUUGUCAAGUUUAAUCCGAGUAUUCUCCGUGUGCAACACUGGCUUGCACCUGUUAUUUGUGAAUGUAGAGCUUAUCACACCCGAUCAUCAUGUGGUGUCUCGGCACGACGAACUUUAGCAGCGGUGCAUACUCAGGGAGAACACUUGUACCUUGAAAUUUAGUAAGGGAUCAUCUUAUCAUGCUACCGACGUUCUAAGCAAAAUAUGAAACUGUGCAUCAUAUGAAGAUGUGCUAUGCAUGAAUGUUGAUCAGCAUGAUGUUAACUGGCUGGUAGUUCCCUUUUCGACAACGAAUAAAACUUCCAACAUGAUGUUAACCCUGUUUGAAAAGGCCGUGUUAAUAUAAAUGCUCUGCCUCUGAAAGUUACAGUUUCUUAUCUGAAACUGAACUUGCAGUUUCUUAUCUGAAACUGAAACUUGCAGUUUCUUCUCGUCUGCACUUUUAUACUCCUAUGAAACUACAUUUUUUAAGUGCUAAAAAUAGAUCUCUAGAAUUCAUAAAAUUCUUCAUAUGCUCAAUACUGCAAAUCUGAAAUUCAAAAGACAUUCAUAUCUGAAAGUACUCUCAAAAUACACAACACAAAACACAAUUCACAACCAGCAAAUACUGACAACCCUAAGCUCCUCUUGACAAUUCAAACCUGCCCGACUAUUGGGCAGGGGGGCAGUCCCCUCCUAUUCCUUGGUGGCAGACAGCCGCCCCGUGAGACGAUGUGAAUGGCGAGGGAGACGAUGGCAGGGAAGCGUCAUCGGGCCAACUGCUUUUCUCCUCUUAUAGUUGGGUUCGGUCGAUGAAGACUCCACCGGCUCGCUCUUGCAGGACACCCUCUCAAACGGCACACUCUAGAUGCUCGAUCCUUCAAUCUCUGGUGGAUGCUCCAUCUGGGAUCGAUACUCCCACCACCGCUCCCUCACAAUCGGAUUCGGUGAAUCUGUUUGCUCCAUGGUCCAGAGGAGCAGCUCUAUGUACUCCGGCGCGACUCCCUCCGGGAGUAUCGCCGCCUUUUCGCUCUGUUGCAGAUAUUUGACCAUGGAUGUCGCCGUCGCCGCUAGUUGGUCCCUGUUGUCAAACCAAGACUGUGUCUCCAACAUCCUAGCUAGCUUCACAGGGUCGCCGUCUGCGAUCCUCGCGUAUCGGUUGUACUCCUCCAUCGAUCUACUUCUGCACAGGACCUUCACUCACCGGCAGUGGUUUUUGAAUGGAAGAGGAGAGGAGCGGCACUGGUUUCAGAUUAGAACGGGAGAGGAGCGACGCUGGUUUUGGACUGCAACAGGAGAGGAGGGGCGGUGGUUUUGAAAUGGAAGAGGAUAGGAGCGGCACUGGUUUUAGAUUGGAACAGAAGAGGAGCGGCGGUGGUUUAAGAGGAGAAGAGCGGAAGAGCGGCGCUGAUCUAGGAAGUAUUUUUUUAUUGUUUUGCGUAUUUUGGGUCAAAGUUUGACCCCGUAUUGUAUGUGACAAGCAAAAUGUGAAUGCAUGUCACCAAAAAUUGUAUCGUUUGGUUUGUAUCUGAAUGUACUUUCAAAUUAUAUUAUUUUUGCAACGUAUAACAUAUAUUUUAUGUGCGAAAAUCAUGGUCAAUUAUGACCCAAAAUAAAAGGGAGACUAGUUAAUGUGGGGCCGCUUUCUCAAUUGAAGGGUAAAUUGAUUUUAAUUUUGAUCCAGUCACAGCGCGCCGGCCCUCUUGCCCAAUCCUAAAUUGCUGCCGCACGCUCCUCUCCCUCUUCUCCAUUGCAAAAUCACCUCCUCUCAUCUCCAUCAUCUCCAUUCCAAAACCACCGUCUCGCCUCUCCCUCUUCUGAUCUUCUCCAUUGCAAAACCACCUCCUCUCCUCUCCAUCAUCUCCAUUCCAAAACCACCUCCUACCCUCUCCAUCAUCUCCAUUCCAAAACCACUAUCUCGCCUCUCCCUCUUCUGAUCUUCUCUCCAUUGCAAACCCACCUCCUCUCCUCUCCAUCAUCUCCAUUCCAAAACCACCUCCUCUCCUCUCCCUCUUCUCUAUUGCAAGAGCAUCUUCUCUCCUCCCAUCUUCCAAAUCUAGCACCGGACCACUCAGAACGACAUCUAUGGAGAGGAUGCAGCAGCGAAUCAGGCACAUCGCCGGCGGCGACCAGGCAAAGUUAGCCAGGUUGAAGGAGAUCCUUAGUUGGUUUGACAAUGAGUGGGAGAUUUCGAGGACGGUGCGGGCCAUGUGUCAAUGUAUGCGAAAGAGCGAGACGGCGGCGAUGUACAUGUACUCCUCGGCGGCAGUCACGCCGCAGUCCUCCGAGUUCAUCGAGUAUCUCCUAUGGGCGAUGUAGUAGACAGAUUCGCCCGAGGCGACAGUCAGGCAGACGUGGUGGGCGUACAGGUCGAAGGUCGAGCACCCACAGGAUAACGAAUUGAUCGAGUAUGGUGUGUCGUUCGUGAGGGUGCAGAGCCAGCCGGAGCCAAAGGAGUAUUCGUUCUCCCACCACAAGAGGAGGCCGGAUGGCGCGACGUCGCUUCCCCGAUGUUCUCCACGGUUCCCUCGACGCUCGCCUUAUUUCAACGGCGACGGUAGGGUUUAAGGAAAGCUUCGCACUAACCUAAUCUUCCACCUGCUCAUGCUUACAAUCAGUGUGACAGCUAAUGAAAAUCACGCUUACAAUCAGUCUUCGCGUACUACGCCAAUCACCCUAAAAUAGCUCUGGACCAUUGGGUCAAAGUUGUGACACAGUGUACAAAUAAAGAAAAAUAGAUUGGUGCUUCUUUCAGAAAAGAGUAAUCCCUAGAAAACUGCCAAUAUAAGCUACUAGUAUUUGGUUAGAGGAUUUGCUGCCGAGAAAGAUCCGUCCACAGAGAGCGCCACACAUCCCACUGGUUGUGGUGGAUGCCAAUGCGUGCAUGCAGCAUGGUUGGUGUCGGUAAUUUUUACUUGGCACACCUCGCACUCUGCAUAUAUGUCGGUUCCAUACGUACAUUUAUGCAGUUCCACCAAAAUGCAGCUGAAUAACCCUGUUUGCACAUAUAAUAAAAAAGCAUGAUUACAUUAUAGUAGCACUAGUUUAUGAAACACACAAAAUAAAUAGAAGAAAAUAUUGUGAUAGUAUCAUAGUAUGCCAUGCUGCGAGGGCGAGAUGGGCCCUGCGACGCCUCAUACGGUACGCCUCAUACUGGACAUCGUCCCAAGUCUCCCAGAUACACCUUCUUCCAGUGAUGAACAUCAGUGUACAACAGUAGUACAAGGAGGCGCCUUGAGACAUUCAAAUCUCUAUUUUUGUACAUAUCAACUAAAAUUAAGCACCCCAGUUUGCAGAAACGCCUAAACAUUAACAAUGGGACUAGUUGAUGAAACAUACUUUAACAAAGAGAAGCACUUUCUUUAUCUACAUUGGAAUGAAAUGAUAGAGAUGACACUCGCUCUAUUUAACUGUAUUAUUACUUCAUUUUAUCAGUGACACUAGGGUCGAGCAGGUGGCAAACGAGGUGUACCGUGCGUCGCAAGGAUGGAGGCCGGGGGUGCUUAGACUGGGAUGCUGAAGCCGGCUCUUUCAGUCACCAACAUGGAUGAUUCAAUUCAUGGGCCCUUUUGGUGCAGUUCACCUAAAAUGAAGCAAUGUCCCGUGAGCUAGCAGCUUCUUCAAAAAAAAUUUAAGAAAAGGGCUCCAGCCCCGGUUCCAUUUCCAUCAGAAAAAGAAACCCACAGAGCUUCUUCUUCAUUAGUUGCAAUAAAAUUGAGCAACAUCAAGUUGGUUGUGAAGCUCCUGGAAUACUCAACUAUAAUUUGGAUAUCAUUUGUGCAGUUCAACUAAGAUCGAGCGUGAAAUGUAUAUCUCUGUUAGCACAAAAAAGGUGGAAAGGAGGGUGACUAACAAGUGAUGAAACAUGCAUCAAAUGAAAAGAAGCAUGUUCCUUAUCUGAAUGGCAAUCCUACAAGGACAGUAGCAAUUUCUAAAGCAGUGGCAUUGCUAGAUAUUAGUGUGGGCAUUAGGAUUAACUAUGACAACCGUUAAAUACGACAUUACUUUGGGCACGGGAGAGUAGGCGGACCAGGACAGUUGCAUUUCUAACGAAAACAACCAACUUAUCUUAAUGGGAAAUUUUAGCAGGACAUGUAAAGAAGUGCCAUUGAUUCAUAUUACUGGAGGCAUUACAUUGAAAACAACAUUGGUUUAACGUGUCCUUACUUUUAACAGUGCGACUACUACAUUUUACCAGUGGCAUUACAUAAGAGUGGCUCGGGGCAACAAACCUCAGAACAGGAUAUCUGGGUUGGUCCCAUUUUCUGCGGUAUAGCCACCUUAUACUGUGUGAGACUAGCAAAUCUAGUGCUGGACUUACUAUGUUGACUUGUCCCCCAGUUUCCACUUUCUUACCUUUUUCAACCAGUAGAUCGGGUUUAUAUUGAGUUUGUACUGCGUUUCCCUUUAUUUCCCUAUUAGACAUAGAGACCAGUUGGAUAGCCAGUCUCUGCUACUUUUCGCCCCCAUUAUUUCCUCUUUCGACCAAGUCCUAGAUUCAGGUAACAAAUCCUCCCCCACCCGCCACCCCCUUUCUUCCUUGUUUGAACCAAGUAGUACUAGAUUCGAGUGCAUGAACUAAAUUUACCUCUUAAACGUAAAAAAAUUAGGUGGUUUUCAAACAGCCGAUCGAUCCUAUCUACGAGGGGGCCUGAGAAAUAGUAAAAGUUACAAAUGCAGCGACGUCAAGAGCUCGGGAAGUAGAGCAAGGCCGGUUUCAAAGGAAGUUAUACCUGAUGGUCGCCAGGAUGUCGCUAGGUGGGCGGCGGGAGGCCAGAUCUGCCCACACUACGACAGCGAGGAAGAAGGGGUCGGAGGCCCUCCCUCGCCAGCGGUGCUUGGGAGAGAACGGCAAGGCAGGCUGAUCGGGACGCGCCCAGCAGUGGGUAAGAGCCGUCGCCGAGGACGACCGCAUGAACGUUGCACCUUCUCACCUUCCCCGGCGGAGAGGAUCCGGCUGGAUCUGUGACCAGCGGUGAGCAGAGAGAGAGAGUGUGGCCACCGCUGUCGUGUUUAGAUCUGGAGAGGCCGAGACGGUGUGAAGAGAGCAACAUUAGCAAGCAAGCGCGGAGGCUCCUGUCUAUAUGGUGGAGUAGUACUUAGUUUUAUUUUGUCUACCGGAGCCGGCUUGACCUCAUCAAUGAUUGUCGAGAAGUCUACAUGCACGUGGCCCGGAGGCGCAGUUGUCGUCAUUUUGAUCUGAAGCGCCGGACUAUAACAUAUAACAUAAAAAAUGCCACAUGACAAGAAAUCAUAACCUCACUGCCCAAAGGAGACAACAUGAAUCCCGACGGACAAACUAGACGAGGAACAAAUCUCAAAUUAAAGAUAAACUCGUAUAAAAGGGGUCCGUCGAUAGAUGUCCUAAUUAACAUAGCGGGCUUGACCUAGAUGGCAGCCGAGUAGUCACUAUUCGUGCAUGUGCCCCCAAUGACUAGCCCAACUAAGUUGUCGUUGUUUAACCCUCGCAGUGAUCCGAAGCACAUGACACAUAAUUUUAUGAGAUGACAAGAAACCUUUUUUUAGAUUUUUCACCACAACUACAGCCAUACAACACAGCCUGCACGAUAUGUAGACGAUAGCCAAUCCAGGCGUGUCUGCUAGAGUCUGGUCACAUGCAUGGACGAACUGAUCUUCCGUGUCUUGCAGGGAUCGUCCAGGCACCAACGUAGUACAACACUUCUCUAGUACUAUCGCUCGUCUCCCUCUUCUAUUAAGUCACCCGACUUGUGGAGCCGGGGAGUGUGCCUAUGGUCGGUUCUCGUCCCACAUGUGUGUGCGAACGCAAUAUGACGCUUGUUCCAUUCGGAGAGCAGCGUGCCAGACCGACCGACCGUCUGGUGUGCGACGUGCGUGCUGUAUACUCCGUACAUGUGUACCGUCGUUUUCUAGACGAUUUGCUCCAUGGCGCGGGCGCAAUCCAUGGAUACAAAAUUAGUAUACUAUAUACUAUUUAAAAGUCGACGGCGGGGCUUUUCCUGCCCGGUAGGCGGCGGGACAGUUCCGCCUAGUCGGUUCGACAGAGACGCGAGAAGACGAGGGAGUAGGCUGCUGCAAACGUAGGGAUGUGUGAUUUGACAGCGAGUUACUGUUGGACAGGUGGGGCCCCGUGAUUUGACUUGCCAUUAUCAUUUUAACUGCGGCGCUACGACCGGCGUGAGUCUUCCGAUUCCUGACCACCUCCAUACAGGUGACUCUCCCAAUGCUCCACCAUGUAGUAGUAGAGGCUGGCUCUUGCAUGAGAGCCUACUUCUCCAUUUUUUCCUUGCCUCUCUUUCCUCCAUAUAUGCAAAAAUGCCAUGUAAAGCGCACUAUUGUACUUACUUGCUGCUACAGGUGCUUAAGCUUGCCACAUAGGCAUAAAGUCUGAUGUGGCAAGUUAAUCAAGAAGAGAGAGACUAGUUUGGUGACCCAAGGAAGAAACGGUGCUAAGCGCGUGUACCUAGAUGAAAAGACAAUUUUGAGUCUAUAGCUAAUUAAAUGAAGCAAACUUAGCAACACCAUUUCGUUGGAAGAGGUCACUCCUUGGCAAAUGCAAUCUAUCUAUACCUAUACUCAUUACAGACUCCCAAAAAAUUACCACGUUAAUUAAAUUUUACGAGUAGUUCAUCUGGUAGGACCGAAUUAUUACGGUGUAGAUUUAAUCAUAGAGUCCUCAUCCAGAAAAAGACACUUUUCACACAAAGGAAAAAAAAAGAUACCAUGAGAUCUUAAAUCUGUUACGAUCUAAUACAAUAGCUAACCAUCUCUCACACGAUUUGAUUGUGUAAAAAAACCAUCACAGCCCGCACAGGUACGUGACCCAACCUACACAUAAUUACUGCAUGCGUUCUAUUUCUCCAUGGACAUAACCCCCAUACAGUCUCCUCCCCGUAGGCAUCUCCCCCCUUGCUCACGCAAUUGUCUUUCUCCUGUCCUUCUGAUCAUCAACGUUGUGUUAGAUCUACAGCAAAUCCAAUUCCACCAGGUCAUGCGCUCAUUGCGAUCGGCCUUGCUUCUUCCCGCCGGUGCCAUCAGCCCCUCUCUCUCUCUCUCUCUCUAUCUAUCUAUCUAUCUAUCUAUCUAUCUAUCUAUCUCUCUCUCUCAUCCUCGAGGACGCUGCCAGCUGCUGUCACUUUCAUCAGACAAUCUUCAGCAACCACUACAUAUCCUUGCCUCCCAGGUACACAAUUAGUGUUUUUGGUUCUUAUGAUUUCAAGUAGAACUGAUCCCAUCCAUUAUUCAGAUUUUGACAUCGUCAUACUGAGUUGUGUGUACCAGAAUUACGAGCAAUUUAUUCUCAUUAGAUGCAAACUUGAGAGAUUUAGUCAUAAAGUCAGGACAGUCAUAUGGGAUCAUCUUAAUUGAAAGAAGAGUAAUGUAACACUCUUUACCAAUGACUGAUGAUGAACAUCAUGGACUGAUUAUGUAAUUGGUUGCCUGUACAAGUUAUACAAAAUUGGGCGACGAAGUGCAAUGCAGGACCAUCCACUAUGCAGUGAAUAAUCUUUUAAGCAUCACCCUGCCCAGCCAUUUGAUCAGGUAAAUACUAUGUGUUGUCUCUCCGUGCGGUUUGUCAAUGAAAGCAUUGUUUAGCCAAUCCAGCCAGGGUGCAUACGGGAAUCUCUUCUUGGCUGCGGCACCAUCACGGCCGAGGAUGAGGUGAUAAGCUCGCCAUUAAGCAACUGGUCUGGUGAUGAAUUAAGCGUGUGAAGAAUCUUUUGAUCUGAGGUAGUAUAAUAUUGUUCUUGUUUAAUAACAAUGCAUUUUUAGCAUGCACCUCUUUAUGCUAUUUGUCUGCAGGUAGCGUUCAUGAACGGAAGACAGCGGUGAAGUAGCUAAUUGACUACGCAAGACAAAGAACUCACAUGUGUUAGUCCGUGGUGGCCAAAAAAGCGCACAUAUAUUAUACCCUCUCAAAUCACUCAAGCUAUGUGAUUUGUUUGGAGCAUGGAGAUUCGCUUAAUGAAAACAGUUUCAUGUUUUUAUCACAGAUUUCAGCUUUGCAGAUUUUCAUAUUUUAUACCGUAUCAUGACACUUUGUCUUCCACCACCAAUCUCCAUUGAUUCUCUCCCAUAUCCCUCAACUCUAACACUUAGCUUAAAACAUCCAAUUCUCUCGAUAAGAUCCGUGUCUCCCUUGAUCGCUAAUCAAGUUUCCAUCCGAUAGAUCUGAAUAUCUGAUAGAUAGAUGGAAACAUAAGUUUUCAUUCAUAAAUAGUAAGGAUUUAGAUUAAUAGUGAACAUCAUAUCUGUGUUAGUGAGAUUUUGUACUCAUAUAGAUUCGGUACAGACCCAAGGCUCUUGAAAGCUUGCGCAUAAGGGAUACACUCUAGUAUUUACAGAAUCUUCCGUAUGGGUCAAUAUUAAGAUCUGAAGACCUAUUAGCCCUGUGAACCAAGCCCUAAUCUGUAUCAUAAAAUGUACACUUGAGGGUGCCAAAUUGAAAAUUACACAAUGGACAUUCCUUGAUCCACAAAUAUUCUAGCUUCUUCAUCAGGUUCAUGGUAUGCAGCUUCUCCAUUAUGCAAUGGCUCCAAGCAGUCAAGUAGGCAAUAUAUUACCAAUCAUAAAUGCAGGAAAUUUAUAGAUGAAGACCUUGAUAUGUUAAGAAUAAUUUUAUAUAAUGUACCUUCUAAAUUGGUUUGCUCAACAAUGGGCUCAAACACUGCAUAUGGAUCAUUUGUGUGGUCAUUCCCACUGGAAAAUCAUAAAAGCAGUAGAGCACAACAAUGUAAGUAUUAUAGUAGACGUAGGAUCGGCAUAAGUAAUUAGCAGAUUUGUAGUGUUUUGAGUACCAUGCGGAGACAGUUCGACAAGGACUCUUGUAUCAUUAUACGGCAUAUUUUCAAGUGGAUUGGAGCCGGUAAAAGGCUCUAUACCUGAACAAAGGAAAGAGAACCCAGAUUUAUGGUCAAAUAAACAUUGUCGACACAUUUGCAUCAUAAUUAAAUCAACGAACUAACAUGCAUCUUCAAUGGUGCAAUCUGGGUCACGUAUUCUGCAGAGUUGGGGUAACUUAACCCCUGAAAUUUGGAUGUGAGUGUCUGCAUGCAAAGUAUAUUUUAUCCACAAGUUAGCACACGAGCAACAACAAAAACAGUAGCACAAAUUAGGAAUUGGUUGAUGAUACUCACACAAUGGUUGGUUGUUUCUUAAAUCCUGAAAUAGGGUACGCACCCGUGCAUGACUGGGAGAUGACAUACCGUCGUCUUCAUGUGAAUAUUCAUGUCAUUAAAUUGUUACAAGCAUGGAUAUUGUGCAAAGAAGUAUGAACAUAAACAUCACGUGCUGGUUUUAUAUUAGUGACAGGCAGAUAAGCAAUAUCUGUUUCAUCUUUGUAAACACACCACACUGCCCUUUUUGUUGAUAUUGUGUUUCAGUAGAGUUGUACAAUGUGCACAAGUCGCUAUUUUAAAUUCUGAAAGCCAACUUUUUUUCGACACCAGGAGCAGGAGAUAGGGUGCAUGCUUUAGUUAGAAAAACAGAUAAGGUGCAAUGGCUAAUUAUUUAGAACUCUAUUCUCAAACAUCUAAUAAUCAUGAGUAAUGUUGCAACAGGUAGGAAGAAGUCGAACCUGAAGAAGUACAUGGUGGAAUCACAGCUGCGUGUGGCCGGCUGGUUCAGGGGACGCAGCGGGCGUGGGUGCAGGGCGGCCACUGACGCGGCAGCAGGGCCAGUGCCGGGGCAGGCUCUAUCUCUCCUGGGUGCUGGCGAUCUCACGGGAUGGAUGCCACGCUAUGAGCGGCAACAAUCGGCGAUGGCGAUCAUGCAGGGAGGCGACGGAGCGGUGUAGUGCAGUGCGGCGAGGUGGCCGUGCAGGCAGGAGACGCUGUUGGUGGGUGGCGUCUGGCACCAAGUCGUCGUCGUGCCAGACGAUGAGGUCGACAUGAGUGACAACAAUCGGUGAUGGCGAUCAGGGAGGUGACGGAGCGGUGCAGUCCGGCGAGGUCACCGUGCAGGCAGGAGACGUUGUUGGUGGGCGGCGUCUGGCACCAAGUCACCGUCGUGCCAGACGAUGAGGUCGAGAUCAAGGGCAUGGAGUUGCCUUAGUUUGCGAUCAAUUUUCGUGAUUGUAGGGACGCAGACUGGUAGUUCCAGUACAAGUACAAGGGCGUGGAGUUGCCUUAGUUUGCGAUCAGAUUUCCGUGAUUGUAGGGCCGUGGGAUUGGUAGUUCCAGUCUGCUCCUGGUGAAGCACGGUGAGUCAUUGGAAAUUGCUACAUGCACACCAUAGAGGUAUUAGAUCAAUGAUGGCUGUUAGAUUUAGAAUUGUGGGCCUAAUCGAGUGGUGCUGAUUGGUAUGUGCGGGUUUGUGGGACUAAUUGCGGGGUGCAUCUAAAAAAGUUCUUGUUUGAUUGUUUAAUAGUUGAUGAAUGAAUUAGACACACCUUUUAAAAUUAGGCUCACUCGCAGUCUCUCCACCGCCCCCGCGGGGUACGCCCAAAUCUCCACGCCAUUCCCCAUUCUCCUGGUCGCGCUCCCCCUUUAGGUAGCUCCUCCCCUUCGUCCCCACAGCCGACGCGAGGUCCGCACGCCCCUUCACGUUGAUCCGGUCCCCGAAGUCCCCGAGGAGGCACUCGAGCUCGGCAUGCUCGCGAGCGACCCAUUGCAAGGGGCCAUCUGAGGCGGAAGCGGUGGCCCGGGAUUCGUCUCAUCCGCAUCGGCGGCCGCGGCCAUCCAGUGCUGGCGUUGCCCAAGCACGGAGCAGGCCCCGACACCUCAACAGCUGGAGCAGUUCGGGUGCUUCGCUUUCACCGGCGAGCUGCCCCUGCCUGCCCCCAGAUGUGCGUCGGCCCGCGGAGGGGAGGGGUCGAAGAAGCAAAAGCGCUGGUAGGGGAGGAGACGGAGAGGAGGCGGAAUGAGGUUCUAGAUGGUUCUGGCGGUGCGAAUAACCCAGGCGUCGCGCCCAUCAUCGCCUUUGCCGGCUGCGAGAACUCCCGCUCCACGCGCCAAUGGCAGCUGGUAAGCCCACGCGUAACUACAAAAUUUCAGAAUUUGGUUCUACUAACUAUAAUAUUUUUUCCUGUGAGUUAUAGUAUGAGGUUGUACUAACUAAAUUUCUUACUAUGAGUUGUACUGACGUGCAGCCGGUAACUUAGUUGGUUACAGAGGGAGUAUCUUAACUCAACUGAUAGUGUACUAUUUCUUCCUAUCAGUAGCCGCAAUGAUAUCUUUUGUUAUGAAUAUAGACCAGAUUUAAGAUCUGAUGCCUACAUUACCAUUAAGCAUAUGUAGUGAACCCUUUUCUCCAUGUAGUUGGUACUGUAAGCUCUUUUCUCUAACUUGUUCCUAUUUUACCUUUUUCGUAGCGAGAUACAGUGGUACAUACAAAAGUCUGAACUGAAAUGGAUAGCUGUAGUUCUCAUUGCAGAGUGGUACUCCCUCUGUAAAGUGUUCUUGUAUUUCUUUGUGGGGGAAGUAUUUGUUUGCUUUACAUUGUCAAAAAAAGAACUGUUUGGUUUACAAGGUUUUAGGAUUCCUUUUAGGUGAUGUUGUCAAAAUCAUAGCUCCUGUAUUGAAGUAUGAUAUGGAUCUAUGAUAUUUCUCCUCUGCAGGGACCAAGGGAUAUGUGAAAUUGACAAGGAAAAGAAAACUUCAGAUGUGAACACCUCUGUUAAGUAUUAUCUUUAUUUCAUUAUUACUAAUGUGUCGCCUGAUAGCUCGAUCUCUUCCAUACAUACAUAUAUGGUUAUUUCAGUCAUGUGCUAUAUUUGUCUCGUAAAGUCAGUGCCCGUCAAUACUUUCUUUCGCUAAUCAAGUUUCCAUCUGAUAGAUCUGAUAGAUAGAUGGAAACAUAAGUUUUCAUUCAUAAAUAGUAAGGAUUUAGAUUAAUAGUGAACAGCAUAUCUGUGUUAGUGAGAUUUUGUACUAAUAUAGAUUCGGUACAGACCCAAGGCUCUUGAAAGCUUGCGCAUAAGGGAUACACUCUGGUAUUUACAGAAUCUUCCGUAUGGGUCAAUAUUAAGAUCUGAAGACCUAUUAGUCCUGUGAACCAAGCCCUGAUCUGUAUCAUAAGAUGUACACUUGAGGGUGCCAAAUUGAAAAUUACACAAUGGACAUUCCUUGAUCCACAAAUAUUCUAGCUUCUUCAUCAGGUUCAUGGUAUGCAGCUUCUCCAUUAUGCAAUGGCUCCAAGCAGUCAAGUAGGCAAUAUAUUACCAAUCAUAAAUGCAGGAAAUUUAUAGAUGAAGACCUUGAUAUGUUAAGAAUAAUUUUAUAUAAUGUACCUUCUAAAUUAGUUUGCUCAACAAUGGGCUCAAACACUGCAUAUGGAUCAUUUGUCUGGUCAUUCCCACUGGAAAAUCAUAAAAGCAGUAGAGCACAACAAUGUAAGUAUUAUAGUAGACGUAGGAUCGACAUAAGUAAUUAGCAGAUUUGUAGUGUUUUGAGUACCAUGCGGAGACGGUUCGACAAUGACUCUUGUAUCAUUAUACGGCAUAUUUUCAAGUGGAUUGGAGCCGGUAAAAGGCUCUAUACCUGAACAAAGGAAAGAGAACCCAGAUUUAUGGUCAAAUAAGCAUUGUCGACACAUUUGCAUCAUAAUUAAAUCAACGAACUAACAUGCAUCUUCAAUGGUGCAAUCUGGGUCACGUAUUCUGCAGAGUUGGGGUACCUUAACCCCUGAAAUUUGGAUGUGAGUGCCUGCAUUCAAAGUAUAUUUUAUCCACAAGUUAGCACACGAGCAACAACAAAAACAGUAGCACAAAUUAGGAAUUGGUUGAUGAUACUCACCCAAUGGUUGGUUGUUGCUUAAAUCCUGAAAUAGGGUACGCGCCCGUGCACGACUGGGAGAUGACAUACCGUCGUCUUCAUGUGAAUAUUCAUGUCAUUAAAUUGUUAGAAGCAUGGAUAUUGUCAUAUAAGUAUGAACAUCAACAUCAAGUGCUGGUUUUAUAUUAGUGACAGGCAGAUAAGCAAUAUCUGUUUCAUCUUUGUAAACAUACCACACUGUCCUUUUUGUUGAUAUUGUGUUUCAGUAGAGUUGUACAAUGUGCACAAGUCGCUAUUGUAAAUUCUGAAAGCCAACUUUUUUUCGACACCAGGAGCAGGAGAUAGGGUGCAUGGUUUAGUUAGAAAAACAGAUAAGGUGCAAUGGCUAAUUAUUUAGAACUCUAUUCUCAAACAUCUAAUAAUCAUGAGUAAUGUUGCAACAGGUAGGAAGAAGUCGAACCUGAAGAAGUACAUGGAGGAAUCACAGCUGCGUGUGGCCGGCUGGUUCAAUGGACGCGGCGGGCGCGGGUGCAGGGCGGCCCCUGACGCGGCAGCAGGGCCAGUGCUGGGGCAGGCUCUAUCUCUCCUGGGCGCUGGCGAUCUCGCAGGAUGGAUGCCACGCUGUGAGCGGCAACAAUCGGCGAUGGCGAUCAUGCAAGGAUGCGACGGAGCGGUGCAGUGCAGUGAGGCGAGGUGGCCGUGCAGGCAAGAGACGCUGUUGGUGGGUGGCGUCUGGCAGCAAGUCGCCGUCGUGCCGGAUAAUGAGGUCGACAUGAGUGGCAACAAUCGGCGAUGGCGAUCAGGGAGGUGACCGAGCGGUGCCGUGCGGCAAGGUCACCGUGCAGGCAGGAGACAUUGUUGGUGGGCAGCGUCUGGCACCAAGUCACCAUCGUGCCAGACGAUGAGGUCGAGAUCAAGGGCAUGGAGUUGCCUUAGUUUGCGAUCAGUUUCCAUGAUUGUAGGGACGCGGACUGGUAGUUCCAGUACAAGUACAAGGGCGUGGAGUUGCCUUAGUUUGCGAUCAGAUUUCCGUGAUUGUAGGGGCCGCGGGAUUGGUAGUUCCAGUCCGCUCCUGGUGAAGUAUGGUCAGUCAUUGGAAAUUGCUACGUGCACACCAUAGAGGUAUUAGAUCAAUGAUGGCUGUUAGAUUUAGAAUUGUGGGCCUAAUCGAGUGGUGCUGAUUGGUUUGUGCGGGUUUGUGGGACUAAUUGCGGGAUGCACCUAAAAAAGUUCUUGUUUGAUUGUUUAAUAGUAUAAAUAAUAAAUAAAUAUAAAUAUUGAUUGUUUAAUAGUAUAAGUAUAGAUUUGUCAGCUACCUUAAGCUGCGCUACUGCAAGAAGAAUAUUGUGUUGCCUAAAAAGACAAGAAUAUUGCAUCAAUUUUUCAGUGUCGACAAAAGUACACCGCAGUCCAUCCGUAUUAGCGUGCUACAAUUUCACAGCAGAGCAUUGUAGGCAUCUUUUUGCCCAGAAAUUUAUCUGCUAAUCUGGGUUGAACACAUGACAUCUCUUUUUAUCCAAGAGUAUAUUUAGUGUCUACGCUUUCAUGUUGCUCCAUUCUUUUUCUGAAAGGAUUGCCCAAUGUUUGUCAGAGCUUCAUUAUGUAAGCUCUGUACAUUGCCCUGUCCGGGUCUUAUUGUGUACAUUCAUACAUUCAAAUUUGGUUGCGUCCUUCUAUUAAGUGCCACAGAUUACAGGGAGCCCCUAUUUCACGCGUAGGUCGGUGAAUAGCGACCAACCUGAAAUCCACCCCCCCCCCACCCCCCGCGUUGCCGCCCCUCCGCGCAUUUUGGGCCGGCCCAAAUGGGGCUUAGCGCUCCUUUUUUGUUGUUUUUUUCAUUUUUCUUCUGUCAUUUUAAUUUUUGUUUCUUCUUUUUUUGUUUUUAUUUUUUCUUAGAGAACUGUUCACGAAUCUCAAUUUCAAGAAAAUGUUUGAGAUUUAAAGAAAUUCUUAAUUUCAAAAACUUUACACUAAUUUUUUAGAAAAAUCAUGAAUUAAAAAUAUACAAAAAUUUGAAAAAUGUUUAAUGAAUUCAAGAAAUAUCAUGAAUUCAAAAAAUGUUCUUGAUCCUAAAAUAAAUGUUACUGAAUUUCAAAAAAGUUCAUUGAUUCAAAAAAUGUUGAUAAGUUUCAAAAAAGAUUUAUCAAUUUAAAAAUAUUCAUAAAUUUCCAGAAAUGAUCUAAGAUUUGAAAAUGGCUUGUGAGUUAAAAAAUCACAGAUUUGAUAAAGUUCACGACUUUGAAAAAAAGUUUGAGCACUUGCAAAAUAAAAAAGAAUUAAAGGAAAUAAAAAUGGAAAAUAAAACAAAACAACGGAGAAAAAACCGGUAGAAAGAAGCAAGAAAAAAAUUGAGGCUGCCACCAAUGGCGAGGAAGAGUAAAACAUGGGAGGCUGCAACCGAUAACGAGGAAGAGUAAAACAUAGGAGAACGCAACCGAUAGCGAGGAAGAGUAGAACGUGGGAGGCUGUCACUGCUUGGGUCUCAAGAAAGCCACCGCCAAAGUCUUGUUGGGCCUCACAGCCGGUGAGCUUGCCCGCUUCACAGAGGUGGAGGCCACUAUUUCAUCCCCUCAUGCUGAAGCUAAACUUGGUGGGCGCAUCGCCCAUCAGUGAGCUUGCCCGAUUCGUGGAGGCGAAGACUACUCUUCCCUUUAUGUUGAAGCUUCAUUUUCUGGGGUUCAGGGCCAUCCGGUGUGCUUGUUGUUGGACAUGGGAAAAACAUGUAGUGCAAAACGCGUGUCGCCACUGCCGGCGAUCUUUUAGACUAGAUUAGAAUAGCCUAGUCGGCUAUAGUUUAGUUGAAAUAUGUCGAGAAUGUAAUGUGCCUGCUCCAGUUUAGAUGAAAAUGAUCCGGUUUUAUGUACGAAUUCUCUAAGUUCGUAUGAAAAUUGUCCAGUUUGUUUAAGUUUACAUCAAAUGUGACUGGGCGUUUGCAACUACCUUUGGAUGAUCGGUUCCCAUAUUAGUGUCCGGACCGGUCCGUAGACAUAUCCAGUGUCCGUCUUAGGGAUCCGUGUUAGAGAUACCCUAACAUAUAUAUGCAUGUUACUAGACUAAACUAUUAAUGCACACAUGCAACACACAUUAAUAUUUAGGCAAUAUAUUAAUUGCACGUGGAUAUUACGUACGAUAGUAUUUAUGUGUUAAUUCUGUGAUUAGUGUAAUAUUUGGUAUGAUAUUAAUUGCAUGUUAAACACGUUGAACGCUCGCUAUUGGAGCAGUCUAGGUCGUUGGAAUGACUUAAUUUGAUGGUCGAGAUCAAUUGGAUCUACCCCUUUGAGUCUUUUUAUAUUGAUAUAGAUAAAUUAUUUCCCACUACAACAUGUUUGGAUUAUCGUGUUGUUUUUGAAGACACCUAAAUAAUACACGUCUCAGCUCAUCGUUUUGUCUCCGACCGAAAAUUCCUAAGCAUCUAGUAAGAUUCUAGUGUAAAAUAAACACCUUCGUAUUAUUAAACUACAAUAAUUCCAAGCGCGGCCUAACUCGUAUCUACACGGAGAGUCGGCACCAUGGGACAUCGUCAUCGCGAUGUUAGCAUGUGGGCCAUGUAACACCCCCUGUAUGGGUUGUCACCUUGUGGUUUGUACCUGCGUGUGGGCUAUAAGAUGGCCCAAGGGGUAUCCUUGUGUGGGCCUGGUAGGAAGAGUAUAUGUAUCGCGUUUGUUACACCAUUCCCCUAAAAAACCUAAGGAACUCAUUGUGCAGAAUGCAUCAAUGAUACUUUGCUGGUGGUAAUCCCCAUGGUAACAAAGCCAAUGCUUAUUUCUCAGUUCAAGCUCAUAAGUUUGAGUAAUGUGCUCUACCAGAUAACAUCAAAGGUGAUAGCAAACAUGAUGAAAGUUAUCCCGCGCGACAUUAUCUCUAAGGAACAAUCAACAUUUGUGCCUGGAAGGCUCAUUACAGAAAACGUCAUUAGUUUUGAUGAAUGUAUUCACUUCAUGAAAAGAAGCAAAUCCGAGGACAACAGCUAUUGUGCUCUCAAGCUAGACAUGAUGAAAGCGUUGUUGGGGAAUGCAUCAAUUUCAAAAAAAUUCCUAGUAUCACGCAAGAUCUAUCUAUGUGAUGCAUAGCAAUGAGAGGGGAGAGUGUGUCCACGUACCCUCCUAGACCGAAAGCAGAAGCAUUUAAUUAACGCGGUUGAUGUAGUCGAACAUCUUUGCGAUCCAACCGAUCCAAGUACCGAACGUAUGGCACCUCUGCGUUCAGCACAUGUUCAGCUCGAGGACGUCCCUCGUACUCUUGAUCCAGUUGAGGCCGAGGGAGAGUUUCAUCAGCACGAAGGCGUGGUGACGGUGAUGAUGAAGUUACCGGCGUAGGACUUUGCCUAAGCACUACGAUGAUAUGACCGAGGUGUGUAACCGUGGAGGGGGGCACCACACACGGCUAAACAAUGUCAACUUGUGUGUCUAUGGGGUGCCCCCCUCCCCCGUAUAUAAAGGAGUUGAGGAGGGGAAAGGGCCGGCCCUCUGUGGCGCGCCCUAGAGGAGUCCUACUCCCACUGGGAGUAGGAUUCCCCCCCCCCCUUCCCUAGUUGGAGUAGGAGAGGAAGGAAGGGGCAGGAAGGAGGAAAGAAAGGGGGGUUGGCCCCCCACCCAAUUCGGAUUGGGCUUGGGCGGGCGCGCACCCUCCUAGGCUCCCUUCUCCUCUCUCCCACUAUGGCCCAAUAAGGCCCAUAUACUUCCCGGGGGGGGUCCGUAACCUCCCAGUACUCCGGUAUAUGCCCGAACUCACCCGAAACCAUUCCGAUGUCCAAACAUAGGCUUCCAAUAUAUCGAUAUUUAUGUCUCUACCAUUUAGAGACUCCUCGUCAUGUCCGUGAUCACAUCCGGGACUCCGAACUACCUUCGGAGCAUCAAAACACAUAAACUCAUAAUACCAAUCGUCAUUGAACAUUAAGCGCGCGGACCCUACAGGUUCGAGAACUAUGUAGACAUGACCUAGACACGUCUCCGGUCAAUAACCAAUAGCGGAACCUGGAUGCUCAUAUUGUUUCCUACAUAUUCUACGAAGAUCUUUAUCGGUCAAACCACAUACAACAUACAUUAUUCCCUUUGUCAUCGGUAUGUUACUUGCCCGAGAUUCGAUCGUCGGUAUCUCAAUACCUAGUUCAAUCUCGUUACCGGCAAGUCUCUUUACUCGUUCCGUAAUACUUCAUCCCGCAACUAACUCAUUUGUCACAAUUCUUGCAAGGCUUAUAGUGAUGAGUAUUACCGAGAGGGACCAGAGAUACCUCUCAAAACAUGGAGUGACAAAUCCUAAUCUCGAUAUAUGACAACCCAACAAACACCUUCGGGGACACCUGUAGAGCACCUUUAUAAUCACCCUUUUACGUUGUCACGUUUGGUAGCACACAAAUUGUUGCUCCGGUAUCCGGGAGUUGCAUAAUCUCAUAGUCUGAGGAACUUGUAUAAGUCAUGAAGAAAGCAGUAGCAAUGAAACUAACAUGAUCAUAAUGCUAAGCUAACGGAUGGGUCAUGUCCAUCACGUCAUUCUCCUAAUGAUGUGACCCCGUUCAUCAAAUGACAACACAUGCCUAUGGUUAGGAAACUUAACCAUCUUUGAUUAACAAGCUAGUCAAGUAGAGGCAUACUAGGGACUAUAUGUUUUGUCUAUGUAUUCACUCAUGUACUAAGUUUCCGGUUAAUACAAUUCUAGCAUGAAUAAUAAACAUUUAUCAUGAAUUAAGGAAAUAAAUAAUAACUUUAUUGUUGCCUCUAGAGCAUAUUUCCUUCAGUCUCCCACUUGCACUAGAGUCAAUAAUCUAGAUUACAUAGUAAUGAUUCUAACACCCAUGGAGCUUUGGUGUUGAGCAUGUUUUGCUCGUGGGAGAGGCUUAGUCAACUGGUCUGCAACAUUCAGAUCCGUGUGUAUCUUGCAAAUCUCCAUGUCCCGUUCCGACACUUGAUGACAGAUGGAAUUGAAGCGUCUCUUGAUGUGCUUGGUUCUAUUGUGAAAUCUGGAUUCCUUUGCCAAGGCAAUUGCACCAUUAUUGUCACAAAAGAUUUUUAUUGGACCCGAUGCACUAGGUAUGACACCUAGAUCGGAUAUGAACUCCUUCAUACAAACUCCUUCAUUCGCUGCUUCUGAAGUAGCAAUGUACUCCGCUUCACAUGUAGAUCCCGCCACGACGCUCUGCUUGGAACUGCACCAACUGACAACUCCUCCAUUCAGUAAAAAUAUGAAUCCGGUUUGUGAGUUAGAGUCAUCCGGAUCAGUAUCAAAGCUUGCGUCGAUGUAACCAUUUACGACGAGCUAUUUUUCACCUCCAUAAACAAGAAACAUAUCCUUAGUCCUUUUCAGGUAUUUCAUGAUGUUUUUGACCGAUGUCCAGCGCUCCACUCCGGCAUUACUUUGGUACCUCCCUGCUAUGCUUAUAGCAAGACAUGCAUUAGGUCUGGUACACAACAUUGCAAACAUGAUAGAACUUAUGGCUGAUGCAUAGGGAAUGACUUCCAUUUUCUCUCUAUCUUCUGCGGCGGUCGGGCUUUGAGUUUGACUCAACUUCACACCUUGUAACAAAGGUAAGAAUCCUUUCGUUGACUGAUCCAUUUUGAACUUCUUCAAAACUUUAUCAAGGUCUGUGCUUUGUGAAAGUCCAAUUAAGCGUCUUGAUCUAUCUCUAUAGAUCUUGAUGCCCAAUAUGAAAGCAACUUCUCCAGAAAUUCUAUAUCAUUUCAAAUCAACAAUAUGUCAUCAACAUAUGAGAUCUGAAAUGCUACAGAGCUCCGACUCAGUUUCUUGUAAAUAUAGGCUUCUCCAAAAGUCUGUAUAAAACCAUAUGCUUUGAUCACACUAUCAAAGAAUUUAUGCCAACUCCGAGAGGCUUGCACCAGUCCAUAAAUGGAUCGCUGGAGCUUGCACACUUUGCUAGCACCCUUUGGAUCGACAAAACCUUCUGGUUGCAUCAUAUACAUCUCUUCUUCCAGAAAUCCAUUCAGGAAUGCAGUUUUUGACAUCCAUUCGCCAAAUUUCAUAUUCAUAAAAUGUAACAAUUGCUAACAUGAUUCGAACAGACUUAAUCAUCGCUACGGGCGAGAAAGUCUCAUCGUAGUCAACUCCUUCAACUUGUCGAAAACCUUUCGUAACUAGUCGAGCUUUGUAAACAGUAACAUUACCGUCUGCGUCCGUCUUCUUCUUAAAGAUCCAUUUUCUAUGGCUUGCCGAUCAUCGGGCAAGUCCACCAAAUUCCACACUCUGUUCUCAUACAUGGAUCCCAUCUCAGAUUUCAUGGCCUCAAGCCAUUUCGCGGAAUCUAGGCUCAUCAUCGCUUCCUCAUAGUUUGUAGGUUCAUCAUGGUCUAGUAACAUGACUUCCAAAACAGGGUUACCGUACCACUCUGGUGCAGAUCUUACUCUCAAAGACCUACGAGGUUCGGUAGUAACUUGAUCUGAAGCUUCAUGAUCAUCAUAAUUAGCUUCCUCACUAACUGGUGUAGGAAUCACAGGAACUAAUUUCUGCAAUGAACUACUUUCCAAUAAGGGAGCGGGUACAGUUACCUCAUCAAGUUCUACUUUUCUCCCACUCACUUCUUUCGAGAGAAACUCCUUCUCUAGAAAGGAUCCUUUCUUAGCAACAAAGAUUUUGCCUUUGGAUGUGUGAUAGAAGGUGUACCUAAAAGUUUCCUUUGGGUAUCCUAUGAAGACGCAUUUCUCUGAUUAGGGUUCGAGCUUAUCAGGUUGAAGCUUUUUCACAUAAGCAUCGCAGCCCCAAACUUUAAGAAACGACAACUUUGGUUUCUUGCCAAACCACAAUUCAUAAGGCAUCGUCUCAAUGGAUUUUGAUGGUGCCCUAUUUAAAGUGAAUACAGCCGUCUCUAGAGCAUAACCCCAAAAUGAUAGCGGUAAAUCAGUAAGAGACAUCAUAGAUCGCACCAUAUCUAAUAAAGUACGGUUACGACGUCCGGACACACCAUUUCGCUGUGGUGUUCCAGGUGGCGUUAAAUGUGAAACUAUCCCAUGUUGUUUCAAAUGAAGAGCAAACUCGCAACUCAAAUAUUCUCCUCCAUGAUCAGAUCGUAGAAACUUUAUUUUCUUGUUACCAUGAUUUUCCACUUCACUCUAAAAUUCUAUGAACUUUUCAAAUGUUUCAGACUUAUGCUUCAUUAAGUAGAUAUAACCAUAUCUGCUCAAAUCAUCUGCGAAGGUAAGAAAAUAAUGAUACCUGCCACGAGCAUCAAUACUCAUUGGACCGUAUACAUCGGUAUGUAUUAUUUCCAACAAGUCAGUACCUCGUUCCAUUGUUCCGGAGAACGGAGUUUUAGUCAUCUUGCCCAUAAGGCACGGUUCGCAAGCACCAAGUGAUUCAUAAUCAAGUGAUUCCAAAAGUCCAUCCAUAUGGAGUUUCUUCAUGCGCUUUAUACCGAUAUGACCCAAACGGCAGUGCCACAAAUAAGUUGCACUAUCAUUAUUAAACAUUAAUAUUUUGGCUCCAACACUAUGAAUAUGUGUAUCACUACUAUUGAGAUUCAACAAAAAUAGACGACUCAGCAGGGGUGCAUGACCAUAAAAGAUAUUACUCAUAUAAAUAGAACAACCAUUAUUCUCUGACUUAAAUGAAUAACCGUCUCGCAUCAAACAAGAUCUAGAUAUAAUGUUCAUGCUCAACGCUGGCACCAAAUAACAAUUAUUCAUGUCUAAAAUUUUAAUCCCGAUGGUAGAUGUAGAGGUAGCGUGCCGACCGCGAUCACAUCGACUUUGGAACCAUUUCCACGCGCAUCGUUACCUCGUCCUUAGCCAAUCUUCGCUUAAUCCGCAGCCCCUGUUUUGAGUUGCAAAUAUGAGCAACAGAACCAGUAUCAAAUACCCAGGCGCUACUGUGAGCAUUAGUUAAGUACACAUCAAUAACAUGUAUAUAAAAUAUACCUUUCACUUUGCCAUCCUUCGUAUCCGCCAAAUACUCGGGGCAGUUCCACUUUUAGUGACCAGUCCCUUUGCAGUAAAAGCACUUAGUUUCAGGCUUAGCUCCAGACUUGGGUUUCUUCUCUUGAGCAGCAACCUUUUUGCCAUUCUUCUUGAAAUUCCCUUUCUUCCCUUUGCCCUUUUUCUUGAAACUGGUGGUCUUAUUGACCAUCAACACGUGAUGCUCCUUUUUGAUUUCUACCUCCGCGGCCUUUAGCAUCGCGAAGAGCUCGGUAAUAGUCUUGUUCAUCCCUUGCAUAUUAUAUUUCAUCAUGAAGCUUUUGUAGCUUGGUGCUAGUGAUUGAAGAACUCUGUCAAUGACAUUAUCGUCAGCAAGAUUAACUCCCAGUUGAGUCAAGUGGUUGUGCUACCCAGACAUUCUGAGUAUUUGUUCACUGACAAAACUAUUCUCCUCCAUUUUACAGUUGUAGAACUUAUUGGAGACUUCAUAUCUCUCAAUCCGGGCAUUUGACUAAAAUAUUAACAUCAACUCCUGGAACAUCUCAUAUGCUCCAUGACGUUCAAAACGUCGUUGAAGUCCAGGUUCUAAGCCGUAAAGCAUGGCACACUAAACUAUCGAGUAGUCAUCAACACGUGUCUGCCAGGCAUUCACAAUGUCUGCAGUUGCGGGCGCGGGUGGUACACCUAACGGUGUUUCCAAGACGUAAUUCUUCUGUACAGCAAUGAGGAUAAGCCUCAAGUUAUGGACCCAAUCCGUGUAGUUGCUGCCAUCAUGUUUCAACUUAGCUUUCUCAAGGAACGCAUUAAAAUUCAAAGGAACGGUAGCACGGGCCAUUGAUCUACAACAACACAGACAUGCAAAAUACUAUCAGGUACUAAGUUCAUGAUAAAUUAAAGUUCAAUUAAUCAUAUUACUUAAGAACUCCCAGUUAGAUAGACAUCCCUCUAAUCAUCUAAGUUAUCACGUGAUCCAAAUCAACUAAACCAUGUCCGAUCAUCACGUGAGAUGGAGUAGUUUUCAAUGGUGAACAUCACUAUGUUGAUCAUAUCUACUAUAUGAUUCAUGUUCGACCUUUCGGUGUCAGUGUUGCGAGGCCAUAUCUGCAUAUCUUAGGCUUGUCAAGUUUAAUCCGAGUAUUCUACGUGUGCAACACUGGCUUGCACCCGUUAUAUGUGAAUGUAGAGCUUAUCACACCCGAUCAUCAUGUGGUGUCUCGGCACGACGAACUUUAGCAGCGGUGCAUACUCAGGGAGAACACUUGUACCUUGAAAUUUAGUAAGGGAUCAUCUUAUCAUGCUACCGACGUUCUAAGCAAAAUAUGAAACUGUGCAUCAUAUGAAGAUGUGCUAUGCAUGAAUGUUGAUCAGCAUGAUGUUAACUGGCUGGUAGUUCCCUUUUCGACAACGAAUAAAACUUCCAACAUGAUGUUAACCCUGUUUGAAAAGGCCGUGUUAAUAUAAAUGCUCUGCCUCUGAAAGUUACAGUUUCUUAUCUGAAACUGAACUUGCAGUUUCUUAUCUGAAACUGAAACUUGCAGUUUCUUCUCGUCUGCACUUUUAUACUCCUAUGAAACUACAUUUUUUAAGUGCUAAAAAUAGAUCUCUAGAAUUCAUAAAAUUCUUCAUAUGCUCAAUACUGCAAAUCUGAAAUUCAAAAGACAUUCAUAUCUGAAAGUACUCUCAAAAUACACAACACAAAACACAAUUCACAACCAGCAAAUACUGACAAUCCUAAGCUCCUCUUGACAAUUCAAACCUGCCCGACUAUUGGGCAGGGGGCAGUCCCCUCCUAUUCCUUGGUGGCAGACAGCCGCCCCGUGAGACGAUGUGAAUGGCGAGGGAGACGAUGGCAGGGAAGCGUCAUCGGGCCAACUGCUUUUCUCCUCUUAUAGUUGGGUUCGGUCGAUGAAGACACCACCGGCUCGCUCUUGUAGGACACCCUCACAAACGGCACACUCUAGAUGCUCGAUCCUUCAAUCUCUGGUGGAUGCUCCAUCUAGGAUCGAUACUCCCACCACCGCUCCCUCACGAUCGGAUUCGGUGAAUCUGUUUGCUCCAUGGUCCAGAGGAGUAGCUCUAUGUACUCCGGCGCGACUCCCUCCGGGAGUAUCGCCGCCUUUUCGCUCUGUUGCAGAUAUUUGGCCAUGGAUGUCGCCGUCGCCGCUAGUUGGUCCCUGUUGUCAAACCAAGACUGUGUCUCCAACAUCCUAGCUAGCUUCACAGGGUCGCCGUCUGCGAUCCUCGCGUAUCGGUUGUACUCCUCCAUCGAUCUACUUCUGCACAGGACCUUCACUCACCGGCAGUGGUUUUUGAAUGGAAGAGGAGAGGAGCGGCACUGGUUUCAGAUUAGAACGGGAGAGGAGCGACGCUGGUUUUGGACUGGAACAGGAGAGGAGGGGCGGUGGUUUUGAAAUGGAAGAGGAUAGGAGCGGCACUGGAUUUAGAUUGGAACAGAAGAGGAGCGGCGGUGGUUUAAGAGGAGAAGAGCGGAAGAGCGGGGCUGAUCUAGGAAGUAUUUUUUUAUUCUUUUGCGUAUUUUGGGUCAAAGUUUGACCCCGUAUUGUAUGUGACAAGCAAAAUGUGAAUGCAUGUCACCAAAAAUUGUAUCGUUUGGUUUGUAUCUGAAUGUACUUUCAAAUUAUAUUAUUUUUGCAACGUAUAACAUAUAUUUUAUGUGCGAAAAUCAUGGUCAAUUAUGACCCAAAAUAAAAGGGAGACUAGUUAAUGUGGGGCCGCUUUCUCAAUUGAAGGGUAAAUUGAUUUUGAUUUUGAUCCAGUCACAGCGCGCCGGCCCUCUCGCCCAAUCCUAAAUCGCUGCCGCACGCUCCUCUCCCUCUUCUCCAUUGCAAAAUCACCUCCUCUCAUCUCCAUCAUCUCCAUUCCAAAACCACCGUCUCGCCUCUCCCUCUUCUGAUCUUCUCCAUUGCAAAACCACCUCCUCUCCUCUCCAUCAUCUCCAUUCCAAAACCACCUCCUACCCUCUCCAUCAUCUCCAUUCCAAAACCACUAUCUCGCCUCUCCCUCUUCUGAUCUUCUCUCCAUUGCAAACCCACCUCCUCUCCUCUCCAUCAUCUCCAUUCCAAAACCACCUCCUCUCCUCUCCCUCUUCUCUAUUGCAAGAGCAUCGUCUCUCCUCCCAUCUUCCAAAUCUAGCACCGGACCACUCAGAACGACAUCUAUCUAUGGAGAGGAUGCAGCAGCGAAUCAGGCACAUCGCCGGCGGCGACCAGGCAAAGUUAGCCAGGUUGAAGGAGAUCCUUAGUUGGUUUGACAAUGAGUGGGAGAUUUCGAGGACGGUGCGGGCCAUGUGUCAAUGUAUGCGAAAGAGCGAGACGGCGGCGAUGUACAUGUACUCCUCGGCGGCAGUCACGCCGCAGUCCUCCGAGUUCAUCGAGUAUCUCCUAUGGGCGAUGUAGUAGACAGAUUCGCCCGAGGCGACAGUCAGGCAGACGUGGUGGGCGUACAGGUCGAAGGUCGAGCACCCACAGGAUAACGAAUUGAUCGAGUAUGGUGUGUCGUUCGUGAGGGUGCAGAGCCAGCCGGAGCCAAAGGAGUAUUCGUUCUCCCACCACAAGAGGAGGCCGGAUGGCGCGACGUCGCUUCCCCGAUGUUCUCCACGGUUCCCUCGACGCUCGCCUUAUUUCAACGGCGACGGUAGGGUUUAAGGAAAGCUUCGCACUAACCUAAUCUUCCACCUGCUCAUGCUUACAAUCAGUGUGACAGCUAAUGAAAAUCACGCUUACAAUCAGUCUUCGCGUACUACGCCAAUCACCCUAAAAUAGCUCUGGACCAUUGGGUCAAAGUUGUGACACAGUGUACAAAUAAAGAAAAAUAGAUUGGUGCUUCUUUCAGAAAAGAGUAAUCCCUAGAAAACUGCCAAUAUAAGCUACUAGUAUUUGGUUAGAGGAUUUGCUGCCGAGAAAGAUCCGUCCACAGAGAGCGCCACACAUCCCACUGGUUGUGGUGGAUGCCAAUGCGUGCAUGCAGCAUGGUUGGUGUCGGUAAUUUUUACUUGGCACACCUCGCACUCUGCAUAUAUGUCGGUUCCAUACGUACAUUUAUGCAGUUCCACCAAAAUGCAGCUGAAUAACCCUGUUUGCACAUAUAAUAAAAAAGCAUGAUUACAUUAUAGUAGCACUAGUUUAUGAAACACACAAAAUAAAUAGAAGAAAAUAUUGUGAUAGUAUCAUAGUAUGCCAUGCUGCGAGGGCGAGAUGGGCCCUGCGACGCCUCAUACGGUACGCCUCAUACUGGACAUCGUCCCAAAUCUCCCAGAUACACCUUCUUCCAGUGAUGAACAUCAGUGUACAACAGUAGUACAAGGAGGCGCCUUGAGACAUUCAAAUCUCUAUUUUUGUACAUAUCAACUAAAAUUAAGCACCCCAGUUUGUAGAAACGCCUAAACAUUAACAAUGGGACUAGUUGAUGAAACAUACUUUAACAAAGAGAAGCACUUUCUUUAUCUACAUUGGAAUGAAAUGAUAGAGAUGACACUCGCUCUAUUUAACUGUAUUAUUACUUCAUUUUAUCAGUGACACUAGGGUCGAGCAGGUGGCAAACGAGGUGUACCGUGCAUCGCAAGGAUGGAGGCCGGGGGUGCUUAGACUGGGAUGCUGAAGCCGGCUCUUUCAGUCACCAACAUGGAUGAUUCAAUUCAUGGGCCCUUUUGGUGCAGUUCACCUAAAAUGAAGCAAUGUCCCGUGAGCUAGCAGCUUCUUCAAAAAAAAUUUAAGAAAAGGGCUCCAGCCCCGGUUCCAUUUCCAUCAGAAAAAGAAACCCACAGAGCUUCUUCUUCAUUAGUUGCAAUAAAAUUGAGCAACAUCAAGUUGGUUGUGAAGCUCCUGGAAUACUCAACUAUAAUUUGGAUAUCAUUUGUGCAGUUCAACUAAGAUCGAGCGUGAAAUGUAUAUCUCUGUUAGCACAAAAAAGGUAGAAAGGAGGGUGACUAACAAGUGAUGAAACAUGCAUCAAAUGAAAACAAGCAUGUUCCUUAUCUGAAUGGCAAUCCUACAAGGACAGUAGCAAUUUCUAAAGCAGUGGCAUUGCUAGAUAUUAGUGUGGGCAUUAGGAUUAACUAUGACAACCGUUAAAUACGACAUUACUUUGGGCACGGGAGAGUAGGCGGACCAGGACAGUUGCAUUUCUAACGAAAAGAACCAACUUAUCUUAAUGGGAAAUUUUAGCAGGACAUGUAAAGAAGUGCCAUUGAUUCAUAUUACUGGAGGCAUUACAUUGAAAACAACAUUGGUUUAACGUGUCCUUACUUUUAACAGUGCGACUACUACAUUUUACCAGUGGCAUUACAUAAGAGUGGCUCGGGGCAACAAACCUCAGAACAGGAUAUCUGGGUUGGUCCCAUUUUCUGCGGUAUAGCCACCUUAUACUGUGUGAGACUAGCAAAUCUAGUGCUGGACUUACUAUGUUGACUUGUCCCCCAGUUUCCACUUUCUUACCUUUUUCAACCAGUAGAUCGGGUUUAUAUUGAGUUUGUACUGCGUUUCCCUUUAUUUCCCUAUUAGACAUAGAGACCAGUUGGAUAGCCAGUCUCUGCUACUUUUCGCCCCCAUUAUUUCCUCUUUCGACCAAGUCCUAGAUUCAGGUAACAAAUCCUCCCCCACCCGCCACCCCCUUUCUUCCUUGUUUGAACCAAGUAGUACUAGAUUCGAGUGCAUGAACUAAAUUUACCUCUUAAACGUAAAAAAAUUAGGUGGUUUUCAAACAGCCGAUCGAUCCUAUCUACGAGGGGGCCUGAGAAAUAGUAAAAGUUACAAAUGCAGCGACGUCAAGAGCUCGGGAAGUAGAGCAAGGCCGGUUUCAAAGGAAGUUAUACCUGAUGGUCGCCAGGAUGUCGCUAGGUGGGCGGCGGGAGGCCAGAUCUGCCCACACUACGACAGCAAGGAAGAAGGGGUCGGAGGCCCUCCCUCGCCAGCGGUGCUUGGGAGAGAACGGCAAGGCAGGAUGAUCGGGACGCGCCCAGCAGUGGGUAAGAGCCGUCGCCGAGGACGACCGCAUGAACGUUGCACCUUAUCACCUUCCCCGGCGGAGAGGAUCCGGCUGGAUCUGUGACCAGCGGUGAGCAGAGAGAGAGAGAGUGUGGCCACCGCUGUCGUGUUUAGAUCUGGAGAGGCCGAGACGGUGUGAAGAGAGCAACAUUAGCAAGCAAGCGCGGAGGCUCCUGUCUAUAUGGUGGAGUAGUACUUAGUUUUAUUUUGUCUACCGGAGCCGGCUUGACCUCAUCAAUGAUUGUCGAGAAGUCUUCAUGCACGUGGCCCGGAGGCGCAGUUGUCGUCAUUUUGAUCUGAAGCGUCGGACUAUAACAUAUAACAUAAAAAAUGCCACAUGACAAGAAAUCAUAACCUCACUGCCCAAAGGAGACAACAUGAAUCCCGACGGACAAACUAGACGAGGAACAAAUCUCAAAUUAAAGAUAAACUCGUAUAAAAGGGGUCCGUCGUUAGAUGUCCUAAUUAACAUAGCGGGCUUGACCUAGAUGGCAGCCGAGUAGUCACUAUUCGUGCAUGUGCCCCCAAUGACUAGCCCAACUCAGUUGUCGUUGUUUAACCCUCGCAGUGAUCCGAAGCACAUGACACAUAAUUUUAUGAGAUGACAAGAAACCUUUUUUUAGAUUUUUCACCACAACUACAGCCAUACAACACAGCCUGCACGAUAUGUAGACGAUAGCCAAUCCAGGCGUGUCUGCUAGAGUCUGGUCACAUGCAUGGACGAACUGAUCUUCUGUGUCUUGCAGGGAUCGUCCAGGCACCAACGUAGUACAACACUUCUCUAGUACUAUCGCUCGUCUCCCUCUUCUAUUAAGUCACCCGACUUGCGGGGCCGGGGAGUGUGCCUAUGGUCGGUUCUCAAUUGCCGUCCCACAUGUGUGUGCGAACGCAAUAUGACGCUUGUUCCAUUCGGAGAGCAGCGUGCCAGACCGACCGACCGUCUGGUGUGCGACGUGCGUGCUGUAUACUCCGUACAUGUGUACCGUCGUUUUCUAGACGAUUUGCUCCAUGGCGCGGGCGCAAUCCAUGGAUACAAAAUUAGUAUACUAUAUACUAUUUAAAAGUCGACGGCGGGGCUUUUCCUGCCCGGUAGGCGGCGGGACAGUUCCGCCUAGUCGGUUCGACAGAGACGCGAGAAGACGAGGGAGUAGGCUGCUGCAAACGUAGGGAUGUGUGAUUUGACAGCGAGUUACUGUUGGACAGGUGGGGCCCCGUGAUUUGACUUGCCAUUAUCAUUUUAACUGCGGCGCUACGACCGGCGUGAGUCUUCCGAUUCCUGACCACCUCCAUACAGGUGCCUCUCCCAAUGCUCCACCAUGUAGUAGUAGAGGCUGGCUCUUGCAUGAGAGCCUACUUCUCCAUUUUUUCCUUGCCUCUCUUUCCUCCAUAUAUGCAAAAAUGCCAUGUAAAGCGCACUAUCGUACUUACUUGCUGCUACAGGUGCUUAAGCUUGCCACAUAGGCAUAAAGUCUGAUGUGGCAAGUUAAUCAAGAAGAGAGAGACUAGUUUGGUGACCCAAGGAAGAAACGGUGCUAAGCGCGUGUACCUAGAUGAAAAGACAAUUUUGAGUCUAUAGCUAAUUAAAUGAAGCAAACUUAGCAACACCAUUUCGUUGGAAGAGGUCACUCCUUGGCAAAUGCAAUCUAUCUAUACCUAUACUAAUUACAGACUCCCAAAAAAUUACCACGUUAAUUAAAUUUUACGAGUCGUUCAUCUGGUGGGACCGAAUUAUUACGGUGUAGAUUUAAUCAUAGAGUCCUCAUCCAGAAAAAGACACUUUUCACACAAAGGAAAAAAAAAGAUACCAUGAGAUCUUAAAUCUGUUACGAUCUAAUACAAUAGCUAACCAUCUCUCACACGAUUUGAUUGUGUAAAAAAAUCAUCACAGCCCGCACAUGUACGUGACCCAACCUACACAUAAUUACUGCAUGCAUUCUAUUUCUCCAUGGACAUAACCCCCAUACAGUCUCCUCCCCGUAGGCAUCUCCCCCCUUGCUCACGCAAUUGUCUUUCUCCUGUCCUUCUGAUCAUCAACGUUGUGUUAGAUCUACAGCAAAUCCAAUUCCACCAGGUCAUGCGCUCAUUACGAUCGGCCUUGCUUCUUCCCGCCGGUGCCAUCAGCCCCUCUAUCUAUCUAUCUAUCUCUCUCUCUCAUCCUCGAGGACGCUGCCAACUGCUGUCACUUUCAUCAGACAAUCUUCAGCAACCACUACAUAUCCUUGCCUCCCAGGUACACAAUUAGUGUUUUUGGUUCUUAUGAUUUCAAGUAGAACUGAUCCCAUCCAUUAUUCAGAUUUUGACAUUGUCAUACUGAGUUGUGUGUACCAGAAUUAUGAGCAAUUUAUUCUCAUUAGAUGCAAACUUGAGAGAUUUAGUCAUAAAGUCAGGACAGUCAUAUGGGAUCAUCUUAAUUGAAAGAAGAGUAAUGUAACACUCUUUACCAAUGACUGAUGUGCUAACAGUAGAUGGUUCUAUCAAUUUUCUAUGCAUCUAUCACGCAACAGAAUCAGUUAACUAUAUAGGCAGGAACAAAGAAGGUGUAUCAGAUCUGCUCUUAUGAUGGAAUCAAGGGAAAUAACUUCCUGGAGUCACCUACGAGGUAAGCAGACCAUAUAGUUUAUUUUUUAGAUGGGGUUCGGUUGAUUUAUUAAUUUUCAUGAUGAAGCUCUGUCGCUUUACCUUUUUGAUUGCUAUUUUGGCUGACAGACCAGAACUAAUCUGUUUACUGAUAAGAGUUUGGGGCUAUUCAUAUAGUUUCUAUUAGUGUCGCAAGUUGGAUCUAAAUUCUCUUUUAUCUAUGUAAGGAGUGCGUUUUUAUUUCUGUACAAACCUGAUAUUCAUAUGGUUUUACCAUAGCUGUGUAGAAUGCGAGCAAGCAAAGUUGAUUAGUAACACACCUAGAAACAAAUGGAUUGAGGCCAUGGAUAAAUCUGUAAAUCUGGUAAGUGAAUACUCAGUUGUUAGUAAUUUUGAGCGCUGAGAUUUAAAUACCCAUGGGCACUACUUAUGAUCUCACCAAAAAAGGAAUUUCUAAUAUUCAGAUUUCUUAUGGAUGGCAAAUAAAAAAAUCCAGUUUAUGGAUGUGAAAAAUUGCAAUCAAGAAACAAUAUACUGUAGCCUGCAUAGAUUCCCAGAUNNNNNNNNNNNNNNNNNNNNNNNNNNNNNNNNNNNNNNNNNNNNNNNNNNNNNNNNNNNNNNNNNNNNNNNNNNNNNNNNNNNNNNNNNNNNNNNNNNNNNNNNNNNNNNNNNNNNNNNNNNNNNNNNNNNNNNNNNNNNNNNNNNNNNNNNNNNNNNNNNNNNNNNNNNNNNNNNNNNNNNNNNNNNNNNNNNNNNNNNNNNNNNNNNNNNNNNNNNNNNNNNNNNNNNNNNNNNNNNNNNNNNNNNNNNNNNNAUGCAUACUCACCUUUCUUUUCUAUCCAGUCAUACAUGUGUGAAUCUUAGAACGUACAAGUAGUCAACUGAACAUAUUUAUAUCUAUUUUCAUACACAUACUCAUCAUCAUACAUGUACUUUCUUAUGAUUAUUGUUCUCUUCCACACAUUUCUGAUGAAGAGACUGUAUCGAGUUAGAUCCGGCGGCACAGAGAAAAAUGAGGUUUGCAUGCUGGUGAUGAACAUCAUGGACUGAUUAUGUAAUUGGUUGCCUGUACAAGUUAUACAAAAUUGGGCGACGAAGUGCAAUGCAGGACCAUCCACUAUGCAGUGAAUAAUCUUUUAAGCAUCACCCUGCCCAGCCAUUUGAUCAGGUAAAUACUAUGUGUUGUCUCUCCGUGCGGUUUGUCAAUGAAAGCAUUGUUUAGCCAAUCCAGCCAGGGUGCAUACGGGAAUCUCUUCUUGGCUGCGGCACCAUCACGGCCGAGGAUGAGGUGAUAAGCUCGCCAUUAAGCAACUGGUCUGGUGAUGGAUUAAGCGUGUGAAGAAUCUUUUGAUCUGAGGUAGUAUAAUAUUGUUCUUAUUUAAUAACAAUGCAUUUUUAGCAUGCACCUCUUUAUGCUAUUUGUCUGCAGGUAGCGUUCAUGAACGGAAGACGGCGGUGAAGUAGCUAAUUGACUACGCAAGACAAAGAACUCACAUGUGUUAGUCCGUGGUGGCCAAAAAAGCGCACAUCUAUUAUACCCUCUCAAAUCACUCAAGCUAUGUGAUUUGUUUGGAGCAUGGAGAUUCGCUUAAUGAAAACAGUUUCAUGUUUUUAUCACAGAUUUCAGCUUUGCAGAUUUUCAUAUUUUCUACCGUAUGAUGACACUUUGUCUUCCACCACCAAUCUCCAUUGAUUCUCUCCCAUAUCCCUCAACUCUAACACAGCGUAAAACAUCCAAUUCUAUCGAUAAGAUCCGUGUCUCCCUUGAUCGCUAAUCAAGUUUCCAUCCGAUAGAUCUGAAUAUCUGAUAGAUAGAUGGAAACAUAAGUUUUCAUUCAUAAAUAGUAAGGAUUUAGAUUAAUAGUGAACAUCAUAUCUGUGUUAGUGAGAUUUUGUACUCAUAUAGAUUCGGUACAGACCCAAGGCUCUUGAAAGCUUGCGCAUAAGGGAUACACUCUAGUAUUUACAUAAUCUUCCGUACGGGUCAAUAUUAAGAUCUGAAGACCUAUUAGCCAUGUGAACCAAGCCCUGAUCUGUAUCAUAAAAUGUACACUUGAGGGUGCCAAAUUGAAAAUUACACAAUGGACAUUCCUUGAUCCACAAAUAUUCUAGCUUCUUCAUCAGGUUCAUGGUAUGCAGCUUCUCCAUUAUGCAAUGGCUCCAAGCAGUCAAGUAGGCAAUAUAUUACCAAUCAUAAAUGCAGGAAAUUUAUAGAUGAAGACCUUGAUAUGUUAAGAAUAAUUUUAUAUAAUGUACCUUCUAAAUUGGUUUGCUCAACAAUGGGCUCAAACACUGCAUAUGGAUCAUUUGUCUGGUCAUUCCCACUGGAAAAUCAUAAAAGCAGUAGAGCACAACAAUGUAAGUAUUAUAGUAGACGUAGGAUCGGCAUAAGUAAUUAGCAGAUUUGUAGUGUUUUGAGUACCAUGCGGAGACGGUUCGACAAGGACUCUUGUAUCAUUAUACGGCAUAUUUGUGGAUUGGAGCCGGUAAAAGGCUCUAUACCUGAACAAAGGAAAGAGAACCCAAAUUUAUGGUCAAAUAAACAUCGUCGACACAUUUGCAUCAUAAUUAAAUCAACGAACUAACCUGCAUCUUCAAUGGUGCAAUCUGGGUCACGUAUUCUGCAGAGUUGGGGUACCUUAACCCCUGAAACUUGGAUGUGAGUGCCUGCAUUCAAAGUAUAUUUUAUCCACAAGUUAGCACACGAGCAACAAAACAGUAGCACAAAUUAGGAAUUGGUUGAUGAUACUCACCCAAUGGUUGGUUGUUGCUUAAAUCCUGAAAUAGGGUACGCGCCCGUGCACGACUGGGAGAUGACAUACCGUCGUCUUCAUGUGAAUAUUCAUGUCAUUAAAUUGUUACAAGCAUGGAUAUUGUGCAUAUAAGUAUGAAUAUCAACAUCAAGUGCUGGUUUUAUAUUAGUGACAGGCAGAUAAGCAAUAUCUGUUUCAUCUUUGUAAACACUAGAUGAUACCCCGCGCGUUGCUGCGGGAUUUGUAGUACUACAUCUGUUUCAGUUUAUAAGUUCUACGCGGACAUCUAGGUUGCCAAUUUAAGCAUCCUAAUAUAAACUAUAUAAUAUAAAAAUUAUAUCUUUUGAAAAUAGAACAUCUGAAGUUUAUAUUGAUAUAUUUUUUGUAAUAUAUGACUUGUAUUAGGUUGGUCAAAUUGACGACCUAGGGGUACGCGCACGCCCUGUAAACUGAAAGAAAGAGAGAGAGGGAGUAUUGCAUAUAAGAUUUGUAAUGAGAAAUAAUCAUAUGGAACCUUUUAUGGAAUGAUAUGAGAAGUCUGUUUCCUAAAAACUCCAAAGAUAAAUUGGGUAGUACUGUCUCAUUAGAAUAUAUCGCUAAAAUGGAAUAGAAGGAACAUAUAGUUGAGAUGCAACCUAAUACCCAUUUGAGCAAUCAUAUAAUGAUAUUGUAACCACAUAGAAGAAUUAUUCUUACAUUUGUCAAGAUAUGCUAUAGGUUUGAAGACAUAAUCCCAAGUGCUUAGCCUUACAGAAGAUCGUUUGAUUGUAAUUAUACGACACAUGCUUGAAACUGAACAUCAGUUAAUAUUCCAGCAUCUAUCUUCGAACAUAGAACACAUCAGAUAAACAAUAAUUAGAGCUCCUAGCCUUCUUUUGGAUGAAAUGCAAGUGUCUCCGGAUGCCUAGCAACCAUCAGACAAAAUCUUCUGCUUUGAACACCUGAAGUAGAAGAGUGACAAUGGUGCCACUCAGGUAUUACAUCGAUCUCAUGCCACUGUGGAAUAACACUGCCGUGAAAGAACAUAUUGAACAUGAACUGCACUAUGUCAUAUUCUCUGAUUCUACAAAUCAUAGGAAAGCAACAAAAAUACCAAUAUGAUUUUUCAUACUAAUGCGUGUGUCAGAGAGAGAUGCAGUACUGUAGUUGCAGGUAGUACAUAAUAAGUUUCAUAUGUUUAUUCCUUCAAGAAGAAUACAAAAACUAAAAAGUUCUUUCACCAUCAAGUGCUUCUAAUCAAAACGAACCAGGUCGGAGAGAUGAGCAUAUGAUCCAUCGUAUCACGAUAACGUAAGUGACAAAGGCAGACCGGACAUGCUGACGUAGCGGAGGUGGCUACGGAACAAAGCUUCAUUUUUCUAUAAAAAAAAAUUGGCCUCCUAGUACCACACACAAACAGAGCUUCUAACUGAAGCUAACUCGAAAAAUUCGCUCAGAUCUAAGGAUGCAGAGAGAGGAAGGACUGCCCCCACCUUUGUCCUUUGGUGUAGUUGAUGUUGGAGGAGGACGCCGACGGUGGCACGUGUUUCCCACCGGGAGCUCUGGACGACGCCGGGGUGCGCGCCUUAGGGCAACGGAGCCUGCGGGGCUUGAUUCAUCGGCGACGGCGUGCAAGGCUCGAUGAAACGGCGAAGAUUACAGGGGCCUGGGUAGGCAGCAACGCACAGGUGUCUCCGGUGGCAAUGACUACGAAGGCUUGGCCGCAGUGGCACCUCACCAUCACCAUCACCAUCGCUCUUGAGGGAGUAUUGUUGGACGGAGUCCAAACAUAAGACCAAAGGAUUGAUUUAUUUGUGCCAUUGGAACCGGACAUAGAAGACGAAGAGAAAGAGAAACAGAGGGGACGGAGUGAAAGGAAAGUACGAUGGAGAUGAUAACGCGCCCGAAAAUAAAUGUUACGGCUGGGACUGCGAAGGGAGUAAUAUCCUCCGUCAAUUCAGCCAUGAUUAAUUGCAUGCAUGGGUUUAGGCAAUGUAAUUAAGUGCACCUAAAGUGGAGACAUGCAUGCGCUUUUUUUUUAUGUUGACAUGCAUGCGCUUGGAUGUAGUAACUGGUUGCGUGCUUGCUUGUGGCACUAAUUUUCCUUGGGGUUUGUUGGCCCAUUUGCUGGCCUCACAUUUGCAUGCAUGCAGUUCUCGCUCGCGCCAGAUCACGGCUGUGUGGACAGUGGCUGGACUUAACGCUGAUGUGGCAUGGAAAUGAUGUGGACAGUGUGCAUGUUGAGAGAAUUGGUAGAAGUGGGGAGCAACUUCUUAAGAAUGUAAGAUGUAAGNNNNNNNNNNNNNNNNNNNNNNNNNNNNNNNNNNNNNNNNNNNNNNNNNNNNNNNNNNNNNNNNNNNNNNNNNNNNNNNNNNNNNNNNNNNNNNNNNNNNNNNNNNNNNNNNNNNNNNNNNNNNNNNNNNNNNNNNNNNNNNNNNNNNNNNNNNNNNNNNNNNNNNNNNNNNNNNNNNNNNNNNNNNNNNNNNNNNNNNNNNNNNNNNNNNNNNNNNNNNNNNNNNNNNNNNNNNNNNNNNNNNNNNNNNNNNNNNNNNNNNNNNNNNNNNNNNNNNNNNNNNNNNNNNNNNNNNNNNNNNNNNNNNNNNNNNNNNNNNNNNNNNNNNNNNNNNNNNNNNNNNNNNNNNNNNNNNNNNNNNNNNNNNNNNNNNNNNNNNNNNNNNNNNNNNNNNNNNNNNNNNNNNNNNNNNNNNNNNNNNNNNNNNNNNNNNNNNNNNNNNNNNNNNNNNNNNNNNNNNNNNNNNNNNNNNNNNNNNNNNNNNNNNNNNNNNNNNNNNNNNNNNNNNNNNNNNNNNNNUGCAAUGGCUAAUUAUUUAGAACACUAUUCUCAAACAUCUAAUAAUCAUGAGUAAUGUUGCAACAGGUGGAAGAAGUCGAACCUAAAGAAGUACAUGGAGGAAUCACACCUGCGUGUGGCCGGCUGGUUCAGGGGACGCGGCGGGCGCGGGUGCAGGGCGGCCGCUGACGCGGCAGCAGGGCCAGUGUCGGGGCAGGCUCUAUCUCUCCUGGGCGCUGGCGAUCUCGCAGGAUGGAUGUCAUGCUGUGAGCGGCAACAAUCGGCGAUGGCGAUCAUGCAGGGAGGCGACGGAGCAGUGCAGUGCAGUGCGGCGAGGUCGCCGUGCAGGCAGGAGACGCUGUUGGUGGGUGGCGUCUGGCACCAAGUCGUCGUCGUGCCAGACGAUGAGGUCGACAGGAGUGGCAACAAUCAGCGAUGGCGAUCAGGGAGGUGACGGAGCGGUGCAGUGCGGCGAGGUCACCGUGCAGGCAGGAGACAUUGUUGGUGGGCGGCGUCUGGCACCAAGUCACCGUCGUGCCAGACGAUGAGGUCCAGAUCAAGGGCAUGGAGUUGCCUUAGUUUGCGAUCAUUUUCCGUGAUUGUAGGGACGCGGACUGGUAGUUCCAGUACAAAUACAAGGGCGUGGAGUUGCCUUAGUUUGCGAUCAGAUUUCCGUGAUUGUAGGGGCCNNNNNNNNNNNNNNNNNNNNNNNNNNNNNNNNNNNNNNNNNNNNNNNNNNNNNNNNNNNNNNNNNNNNNNNNNNNNNNNNNNNNNNNNNNNNNNNNNNNNNNNNNNNNNNNNNNNNNNNNNNNNNNNNNNNNNNNNNNNNNNNNNNNNNNNNNNNNNNNNNNNNNNNNNNNNNNNNNNNNNNNNNNNNNNNNNNNNNNNNNNNNNNNNNNNNNNNNNNNNNNNNNNNNNNNNNNNNNNNNNNNNNNNNNNNNNNNNNNNNNNNNNNNNNNNNNNNNNNNNNNNNNNNNNNNNNNNNNNNNNNNNNNNNNNNNNNNNNNNNNNNNNNNNNNNNNNNNNNNNNNNNNNNNNNNNNNNNNNNNNNNNNNNNNNNNNNNNNNNNNNNNNNNNNNNNNNNNNNNNNNNNNNNNNNNNNNNNNNNNNNNNNNNNNNNNNNNNNNNNNNNNNNNNNNNNNNNNNNNNNNNNNNNNNNNNNNNNNNNNNNNNNNNNNNNNNNNNNNNNNNNNNNNNNNNNNNNNNNNNNNNNNNNNNNNNNNNNNNNNNNNNNNNNNNNNNNNNNNNNNNNNNNNNNNNNNNNNNNNNNNNNNNNNNNNNNNNNNNNNNNNNNNNNNNNNNNNNNNNNNNNNNNNNNNNNNNNNNNNNNNNNNNNNNNNNNNNNNNNNNNNNNNNNNNNNNNNNNNNNNNNNNNNNNNNNNNNNNNNNNNNNNNNNNNNNNNNNNNNNNNNNNNNNNNNNNNNNNNNNNNNNNNNNNNNNNNNNNNNNNNNNNNNNNNNNNNNNNNNNNNNNNNNNNNNNNNNNNNNNNNNNNNNNNNNNNNNNNNNNNNNNNNNNNNNNNNNNNNNNNNNNNNNNNNNNNNNNNNNNNNNNNNNNNNNNNNNNNNNNNNNNNNNNNNNNNNNGGGGUGCUUCGCUUUCACCGGCGAGCUGCCCCUGCCUGCCCCCAGAUGUGCGUCGGCCCGCGAAGGGGGAGGGGUCGAAGAAGCAAAAGUGCUGGUAGGGGAGGAGACGGAGAGGAGGCGGAAUGAGGUUCUAGAUGGUUCUGGCGGUGCGAAUAACCCAGGCGUCGCGCCCAUCAUCGCCUUUGCUGGCUGCGAGAACUCCCGCUCCACGCGCCAAUGGCAGCUGGUAAGCCCACGCGUAACUACAAAAUUUCAGAAUUUGGUUCUACUAACUAUAAUAUUUUUUCCUGUGAGUUAUAGUAUAUGGUUGUACUAACUAAAUUUCUUACUAUGAGUUGUACUGACGUGCAGCCGGUAACUUAGUUGGUUACAGAGGGAGUAUCUUAACUCAACUGAUAGUGUAAUAUUUCUUCCUAUCAGUAGUAGCAGCAAUGAUAUCUUUUGUUAUGAAUAUAGACCAGAUUUAAGAUCUGAUGCCUACAUUACCAUUAAGCAUAUGUAGUGAACUCUUUUCUCCAUGUAGUUGGUACUGUAAGCUCUUUUCUCUAACUUGUUCCUAUUUUACCUUUUUCGUAGCGAGAUACAGUGGUACAUACAAAAGUCUGAACUGAAAUGGAUAGUUGUAGUUCUCAUUGCAGAGUGGUACUCCCUGUUCUUGUAUUUCUUUGUGGGGGAAGUAUUUGUUUGCUUUACAUUGUCAAAAAAAGAACUGUUUGGUUUACAAGGUUUUAGGAUUCCUUUUAGGUGAUGUUGUCAAAAUCAUAGCUCCUGUAUUGAAGUAUGAUAUGGAUCUAUGAUAUUUCUCCUCUGCAGGGACCAAGGGAUAUGUGAAAUUGACAAGGAAAAGAAAACUUCAGAUGUGAACACCUCUGUUAAGUAUUAUCUUUAUUUCAUUAUUACUAAUGUGUCGCCUGAUAGCUCGAUCUCUUCCAUACAUACAUAUAUGGUUAUUUCAGUCAUGUGUUAUAUUUGUCUCGUAAAGUCAGUGCCCGUCAAUACUUUCUUUCGCUAAUCAAGUUUCCAUCUGAUAGAUCUGAUAGAUAGAUGGAAACAUAAGUUUUCAUUCAUAAAUAGUAAGGAUUUCGAUUAAUAGUGAACAUCAUAUCUGUGUUAGUGAGAUUUUGUACUCAUAUAGAUUCGGUACAGACCCAAGGCUCUUGAAAGCUUGCGCAUANNNNNNNNNNNNNNNNNNNNNNNNNNNNNNNNNNNNNNNNNNNNNNNNNNNNNNNNNNNNNNNNNNNNNNNNNNNNNNNNNNNNNNNNNNNNNNNNNNNNNNNNNNNNNNNNNNNNNNNNNNNNNNNNNNNNNNNNNNNNNNNNNNNNNNNNNNNNNNNNNNNNNNNNNNNNNNNNNNNNNNNNNNNNNNNNNNNNNNNNNNNNNNNNNNNNGGGAUACACUCUAUUAUUUACAGAAUCUUCCGUAUGGGUCAAUAUUAAGAUCUGAAGACCUAUUAGGCCUGUGAACCAAGCCCUGAUCUGUAUCAUAAAAUGUACACUUGAGGGUGCCAAAUUGAAAAUUACACAAUGGACAUUCCUUUAUCCACAAAUAUUCUAGCUUCUUCACCAGGUUCAUGGUAUGCAGCUUUUCCAUUAUGCAAUGGCUCCAAGCAGUCAAGUAGGCAAUAUAUUACCAAUCAUAAAUGCAGGAAAUUUAUAGAUGAAGACCUUGAUAUGUUAAGAAUAAUUUUAUAUAAUGUACCUUCUAAAUUGGUUUGCUCAACAAUGGGCUCAAACACUGCAUAUGGAUCAUUUGUCUGGUCAUUCCCACAGGAAAAUCAUAAAAGCAGUAGAGCACAACAAUGUAAGUAUUAUAGUAGACGUAGGAUCGGCACAAGUAACUAGCAGAUUUGUAGUGUUUUGAGUACCAUGCAGAGACGGUUCGACAAGGACUCUUGUAUCAUUAUACGGCAUAUUUUCAAGUGUAUUGGAGCCAGUAAAAGGCUCUAUACCAGAACAAAGGAAAGAGAACCCAGAUUUAUGGUCAAAUAAGCAUUGUCGACACAUUUGCAUCAUAAUUAAAUCAACGAACUAACAUGCAUCUUCAAUGGUGCAAUCUGGGUCACGUAUUCUGCAGAGUUGGGGUACCUUAACCCCUGAAAUUUGGAUGUGAGGGCCUGCAUUCAAAGUAUAUUUUAGAGUUAAUUACACAAAACUACAACUUCAGGGUAACUUAUAACACUUUACCACAACUUUUGAGUUUUUUAACAAAAAACCACAAGUUCGGCUCAACUUAUAACACUUGACCACAACUUUUGAGUUUUUUUGACACAAAACCACAACUUCUAAACUAAUUCUCAACAUUGAGCCCAACUCUAUCAAUCAACUUCUUUUAGUAGACAAACUGAUUGAUUGGGCGCACAUGUUAGGACCUAAGUAGGAAAAUGGUGGCACGUGCGCAUCUCCUAUGUGGCCUACCAUUUCCUCCUCUUGCCAUCCCGUACCAGCGCUAUGAACUCCACCGAUGCAUUGAGCAGGGAGGUGGGUGUUGUUGGGAUGGUCAAAAUUUUGCCACAUGACGAUCACUCCGAGCGUCCUUGAUGGUGAGGUUCCUAGUGCCGCAAAGCCACGCCUGCAUGUCACUGUCGUUGGCGGCGGAGCUCCAAAUGAUCUCGAUGUCGUAAUUAGUAAGGACGAGCACAUUGCAGUGGUCACGAAGCACGAGGUGGCAGCCUUGAUUGUGCACAACGUGGCAUCACAGAUGUGCUGGCAGAGCCCGUCCGGACUAUGGCAUGGUCAGCAGGGCGCGCGAACCAGACAGAGAGGUCCUGGGGAGGACGAGCGCGUCUCUACUACCAUGGAGCACAAGGCAGCAACCUUGUCUAUGCACAACGCGAUAUAGUGCAUGUGCUAGCUGCGGUUGUCCAGACAACAACAUGGUUGGGCGGAGUGCGCCAGACGAAGAAGGUGAAGACAAUGAAUUUGUUUUCUUUUUAGGGGUAGAUGGCAUAGAAGCUGCAGGUGAACACGUCGUCGAGGAGACGACGAUGUUGUAUGCACACUGCUAUGUUACACAAAUUCGGUCAGCGCCACGUAGGAGGGAACUUGUCGCCUAGAGACACAUGUGGACCCAAUCAUUCAGAUUGGCUGUUAAAAGAAGUUGACCAAUAGAUUUGGACCCAAUGUUGAGAAUUAGUCCAGCAGUUGUGGUUUUGUGUUAAAAAAAUUCAAAAGUUGUGGUAAAGUAUUAUAAGUUGCCGCGAAGUUGUGGUUUUGUGUUAAAAAACUCAAAUGUUGUGGUAAAGUGUUAUAACUUAUCCUGAAGUUGUGGUUUUGUGUAAUUAACUCUAUAUUUUAUCCACAAGUUAGCACACGAGCAACAACAAAAACAGUAGCACAAAUUAGGAAUUGGUUGAUGAUACUCACCCAAUGGUUGGUUGUUGCUUAAAUCCUGAAAUAGGGUACGCGCCCGUGCACGACUGGGAGAUGACAUACCGUCGUCUUCAUGUGAAUAUUCAUGUCAUUAAAUUGUUACAAGCAUGGAUAUUGUGCAUAUAAGUAUGAACAUGAACAUCAAGUGCUGGUUUUAUAUUAGUGACAGGCAGACAAGCAAUAUCUGUUUCAUCUUUGUAAACAUACCACACUGUCCUUUUUGUUGAUAUUGUGUUUCAGUAUAGUUGUACAAUGUGCACAAGUCGCUAUUGUAAAUUCUGAAAGCCAACUUUUUUUCGACGCCAGGAGCAGGAGAUAGGGUGCAUGCUUUAGUUAGAAAAAUAGAUAAGGUGCAAUGGCUAAUUAUUUAGAACUCUAUUCUCAAACAUCUAAUAAUCAUGAGUAAUGUUGCAAACAGGUAGGAAGAAGUCGAACCUGAAGAAGUACAUGGAGGAAUCACAGCUGCGUGUGGCCGGCUGGUUCAGGGGACGCGGCGGGCGCGGGUGCAGGGCGGCCCCUGACGCGGCAGCAGGGCCAGUGCUGGGGCAGGCUCUAUCUCUCCUGGGCGCUGGCGAUCUCGCAGGAUGGAUGCCACGCUGUGAGCGGCAACAAACGGCGAUGGCGAUCAUGCAGGGAGGCGACGGAGCGGUGCAGUGCAGUGAGGCGAGGUGGCCGUGCAGGCAGGAGACACUGUUGGUGGGUGGCGUCUUGCACCUAGUCGCCGUCGUGCCAGACGAUGCGGUCGACAUGAGUGGCAACAAUCGGCGAUGGCGAUCAGGAAGGUGAAGGAGCGGUGCAGUGCGGCGAGGUCACCGUGCAGGCAGGAGACGUUGUUGCUGGGCGGCGUCUGGCACCAAGUCACCGUCGUGCCAGACGAUGAGGUCGAGAUCAAGGGCAUGGAGUUGCCUUAGUUUGCGAUCAGUUUCCGUGAUUGUAGGGACGCGGACUGGUAGUUCCAGUACAAGUACAAGGGCGUGGAGUUGCCUUAGUUUGCGAUCAGAUUUCUGUGAUUGUAGGGGCCGCGGGAUUGGUAGUUCCAGUCCGCUCCUGGUGAAGUACGGUCAGUCAUUGGAAAUUGCUACGUGCACAUCAUAGAGGUAUUAGAUCAAUGAUGGCUGUUAGAUUUAGAAUUGUGGACCUAAUCGAGUGGUGCUGAUUGGUUUGUGCGGGUUUGUGAGACUAAUUGCGGGGUGCACCUAAAAAAUUAUUGUUUGAUUGUUUAAUAGUAUAAAUAAUAAAUAAUAAAUAUAAAUAUUGAUUGUUUAAUAGUAUAAGUAUAGAUUUGUCAGCUACCUUAAGCUGCCCUACUGCAAGAAGAAUAUUGUGUUGCCUAAAAAGACAAGAAUAUUGCCUGAAUUUUUCAGUGUCGACAAAAGUACACCGCAGUCCAUCCGUAUUAGCGUGCUACAAUUUCACAAGAGAGCAUUGUAGGCAUCUUUUUGCCCAGAAAUUUAUCUGCUAAUCUGGGUUGAACACACGACAUCUCUUUUUAUCCAAGAGUAUAUUUCGGGUCUAUGCUUUCAUGUUGCUCAAUUCUUUUUCUGAAAGGAUUGCCCAAUGUUUGUCAGAGCUUCAUUAUGUAAGCCCUGUACAUUGCCCUGUCCGGGUCUUAUUGUGCACAUUCAUACAUUCAAAUUUGGUUGCGUCCUUCUAUUAAGUGCCACAGAUUACAGGGAGCCCCUAUUUCACGCGUAGGUCGGUGAAUAGCGACCAACCUGAAAUCCACCCCCACCCCCCGCAUUGCCGCCCCUCCGCGCAUUUUGGGCCGGCCCAAAUGGGGCUUAGCGCUCCUUUUUUGUUGUUUUUUUCAUUUUUCUUCUGUCAUUUUAAUUUUUGUUUCUUCUUUUUUUGUUUUAAUUUUUUCUUAGAGAACUGUUCACGAAUCUCAAUUUCAAGAAAAUGUUUGAGAUUUAAAGAAAUUCUUAAUUUCAAAAACUUUACACUAAUUUUUUAGAAAAAUCGUGAAUUAAAAAGUUAUACAAAAAUUUGAAAAAUGUUUAAUGAAUUCAAGAAAUAUCAUGAAUUCAAAAAAUGUUCUUGAUCCUAAAAUAAAUGUUACUGAAUUUCAAAAAAGUUCAUUGAUUCAAAAAAUGUUGAUAAGUUUCAAAAAAGAUUUAUCGAUUUAAAAAUAUUCGUAAAUUUCCAGAAAUGUUCUAAGAUUUGAAAAUUGCUUGUGAGUUAAAAAAUCACAGAUUGGAUAAAGUUCACGACUUUGAAAAAAAGUUUGAGCACUUGCAAAAUAAAAAAAAUUAAAGGAAAUAAAAAUGGAAAAUAAAAAAAAACAACGGCGAAAAAACCGGGAGAAAGAAGCAAGAAAAAAAGGGAGGCUGCCACCGAUGGCGAGGAAGAGUAAAACACGGGAGGCUGCAACCGAUAACGAGGAAGAGUAAAACAUAGGAGAACGCAACCGAUGGCGAGGAAGAGUAGAACAUGGGAGGCUGUCACUGCUUGGGUCUCAAGAAAGCCACUGCCAAAGUCUUGUUGGGCCUCACAGCCGGUGAGCUUGCCCGCUUCACGGAGGUGGAGGCCACUAUUUCAUCCCCUCAUGCUGAAGCUAAACUUGGUGGGCGCAUCGCCCAUCAGUGAGCUUGCCCGAUUCGUGGAGGCGAAGACUACUCUUCCCUUUAUGUUGAAGCUUCAUUUUCUGGGGUUCAGGGCCAUCGGGUGUGCUUGUUGUUGGACACGGGGAAAACAUGUAGUGCAAAACGCGUGUCGCCGCUGCCGGCGAUCUUUUAGACUAGAUUAGAAUAGCCUAGUCGGCUAUAGUUUAGUUGAAUAUGUCGAGAAUGUAAUGUGUGUGCUCCAGUUUAGAUGAAAAUGAUCCGGUUUUAUGUACGAAUUCUCUAAGUUCGUAUGAAAAUUGUCCAGUUUGUUUAAGUUUACAUCAAAUGUGACUGGGCGUUUGCAACUACCUUUGGAUGGUCGGUUUCCAUAUUAGUUUCUGGACCGGUCCGUAGACAUAUCCAGUGUCCGUUUUAGGGAUCCGUGUUAGAGAUACCCUAACAUAUAUAUGCAUGUUACUAGACUAAACUAUUAAUGCACACGUGCAACACACGUUAAUAUUUAGGCAAUAUAUUAAUUGCACGCGGAUAUUACAUAUGAUAGUAUUUAUUUGUUAAUUCUGUGAUUAAUGCAAUAUUUGGUAUGAUAUUAAUUGCACGUUAAACACGUUGAACGCUCGCUAUUGGAGCAGUCUAGGUCGUUGGAAUGACUUAAUUUGAUGGUCGUGAUCAAUUGGAUCUACCCUUUUGAGUCUUUUUAUAUUAAUAUAGAUAAAUUAUUUCCCACUACAACAUGUUUGGAUUAUCGUGUUGUUUCUGAAGACACCUAAAUAAUACACGUCUCAGCUCAUCGUUUUGUCUCCGACCGAAAAUUCCUAAGCAUCCAGUAAGAUUCUAGUGUAAAAUAAACACCUUCGUAUUAUUAAACUACAAUGAUUCCAAGCGCGGCCUAACUCGUAUCUACACGGAGAGUCGGCACCAUGGGACAUCGUCAUCGCGAUGUUAGCAUGUGGGCCAUGUAACACCCCCUUUAUGGGUUGUCACCUUGUGGUUUGUACCUGCGUGUGGGCUAUAAGAUGGCCCAAGGGGUAUCCUUGUGUGGGCCUGGUAGGAAGAGUAUAUGUAUCGCGUUUGUUACACCAUUCCCCCAAAAAACCUAAGGAACUCAUUGUGCAGAAUGCAUCAAUGAUACUUUGCUGGUGGUAAUCCCCAUGGUAACAAACCCAAUGCUUAUUUCUCAGUUCAAGCUCAUAAGUUUGAGUAAUGUGCUCUACCAGAUAACAUCAAAGGUGAUAGCAAACAUGAUGAAAGUUAUCCCGCGCGACAUUAUCUCUAAGGAACAAUCAACAUUUGUGCCUGGAAGGCUCAUUACAGAAAACGUCAUUAGUUCUGAUGAAUGUAUUCACUUCAUGAAAAGAAGCAAAUCCGAGGACAACAGCUAUUGUGCUCUCAAGCUAGACAUGAUGAAAGCGUUGUUGGGGAACGCAUCAAUUUCAAAAAAAUUCCUAGGAUCACGCAAGAUCUAUCUAUGUGAUGCAUAGCAACGAGAGGGGAGAGUGUGUCCACGUACCCUCCUAGACCGAAAGCAGAAGCAUUUAAUUAACGCGGUUGAUGUAGUCGAACAUCUUCGCGAUCCAACCGAUCCAAGUACCGAACGUACUGGACCUCCACGUUCAGCACACGUUCAGCUCGAGGACCUCCCUCGUACUCUUGAUCCAGUUGAGGCCGAGGGAGAGUUUCGUCAGCACGAAGGCGUGGUGACGGUGAUGAUGAAGUUACCGGCGUAGGGCUUUGCCUAAGCACUACGAUGAUAUGACCGAGGUGUGUAACUGUGGAGGGGGGCACCGCACACGGCUAAACAAUGUCAACUUGUGUGUCUAUGGGGUGCCCCCCUCCCCCGUAUAUAAAGGAGUGGAGGAGGGGAAAGGGCCGGACCUCUGUGGCGCACCCUGGAGGAGUCCUACUCCCACUAGGAGUAGGACCCCCCCUUCCCUAGUUGGACUAGGAGAGGAAGGAAGGGGCAGGAAGGAGGAAAGAAAGGAGGGGUCGGGCCCCCACCCAAUUCGGAUUGGGCUUGGGCGGGCGCGCCCCCUCCUAGGCUCCCUUCUCCUCUCUCCCACUAUGGCCCAAUAAGGCCCAUAUACUUCCCGNNNNNNNNNNAGAACUAUGUAGACAUGACCGAGACACGUCUCCGGUCAAUAACGAAUAGCGGAACCUAGAUGCUCAUAUUGUUUCCUACAUAUUCUACGAAGAUCUUUAUCGGUCAAACCACAUACAACAUACGUUGUUCCCUUUGUCAUCGGUAUGUUACUUGCCCGAGAUUCGAUCAUCGGUAUCUCAAUACCUAGUUCAAUCUCGUUACCGGCAAGUCUCUUUACUCGUUCCGUAAUACUUCAUCCCGCAACUAACUCAUUAGUCACAAUGCUUGCAAGGCUUAUAGUGAUGAGUAUUACCGAGAGGGACCAGAGUUACCUCUCCGAAACAUGGAGUGACAAAUCCUAAUCUCGAUAUAUGCCAACCCAACAAACACCUUCGGAGACACCUGUAGAGCACCUUUAUAAUCACCCUUUUACGCUAUGACGUUUGGUAGCACACAAAUUGUUCCUCCGGUAUUCGGGAGUUGCAUAAUCUCAUAGUUUGAGGAACUUGUAUAAGUCAUGAAGAAAGCAGUAGCAAUGAAACUAACACGAUCAUAAUGCUAAGCUAACGGAUGGGUCAUGUCCAUCACGUCAUUCUCCUAAUGAUGUGAUCCCGUUCAUCAAAUGACAACACAUGCCUAUGGUUAGGAAACUUAACCAUCUUUGAUUAACAAGCUAGUCAAGUAGAGGCAUACUAGGGACUAUAUGUUUUGUCUAUGUAUUCACUCAUGUACUAAGUUUCCGGUUAAUAUAAUUCUAGCAUGAAUAAUAAACAUUUAUCAUGAAUUAAGGAAAUAAAUAAUAACUUUAUUAUUGCCUCUAGAGCAUAUUUCCUUCAGUCUCCCACUUGCACUAGAGUCAAUAAUCUAGAUUACAUAGUAAUGAUUCUAACACCCAUGGAGCUUUGGUGUUGAUCAUGUUUUGCUCGUGAGAGAGGCUUAGUCAACUGGUCUACAACAUUCAGAUCCGUGUGUAUCUUGCAAAUCUCUAUGUCCCCUUCCGACACUUGAUGACAGAUGGAAUUGAAGCGUCUCUUGAUGUGCUUGGUUCUCUUGUGAAAUUUGGAUUCCUUUGCCAAGGCAAUUGCACCAUUAUUGUCACAAAAGAUUUUCAUUGGACCCGAUGCACUAGGUAUGACACCUAGAUCGGAUAUGAACUCCUUCAUACAAACUCCUUCAUUCGCUGCUUCUGAAGUAGCAAUGUACUCCGCUUCACAUGUAGAUCCCGCCACGACGCUCUGCUUGGAACUGCACCAACUGACAACUCCUCCAUUCAGUAAAAAUACGUAUCCGGUUUGUGAGUUAGAGUCAUCCGGAUCAGUGUCAAAGCCUGCAUCGAUGUAACCAUUUACGACGAGCUAUUUUUCACCUCCAUAAACAAGAAACAUAUCCUUAGUCCUUUUCAGGUAUUUCAGGAUGUUUUUGACCGAUGUCAAGUGCUCCACUCCGGCAUUACUUUGGUACCUCCCUGCUAUGCUUAUAGCAAGACAUACAUUAGGUCUGGUACACAGCAUUGCAAACAUGAUAGAACCUAUGGCUGAUGCAUAGGGAAUGACUUCCAUUUUCUCUCUAUCUUCUGCGGUGGUCAGGCUUUGAAUUUGACUCAACUUCACACCUUGUAACACAGGCAAGAACCUUUUCUUUGACUGAUCCAUUUUGAACUUCUUCAAAACUUUAUCAAGGUCUGUGCUUUGUGAAAGUCCAAUUAAGUGUCUUGAUCUAUCUCUAUAGAUCUUGAUGCCCAAUAUAUAAGCAGCUUCUCCAGAAAUUCUAUAUCAUUUCAAAUCAACAAUAUGUCAUCAACAUAUGAGAUCUGAAAUGCUACAGAGCUCUGACUCAGUUUCUUGUAAAUACAGGCUUCUCCAAAAGUCUGUAUAAAACCAUAUGCUUUGAUCACACUAUCAAAGCAUUUAUGCCAACUCCGAGAGGCUUGCACCAGUCCAUAAAUGGAUCGCUGGAGCUUGCACACUUUGCUAGCACCCUUUGGAUCGACAAAACCUUCUGGUUGCAUCAUAUACAACUCUUCUUCCAGAAAUCCAUUCAGGAAUGCAGUUUUUGACGUCCAUUCGCCAAAUUUCAUAUUCAUAAAAUGUAACAAUUGCUAACAUGAUUCGAACAGACUUAAUCAUCGCUACGGGCGAGAAAGUCUCAUCGUAUUCAACUCCUUCAACUUGUCGAAAACCUUUCGUAACUAGUCGAGCUUUGUAAACAGUAACAUUACCUUCUGCGUCUGUCUUCUUCUUAAAGAUCCAUUUUCUAUGGCUUGCCGAUCAUCGGGAAAGUCCCCAAAUUCCACACUUUGUUCUCAUACAUGGAUCCCAUCUCAGAUUUCAUGGCCUCAAGCCAUUUCGCGGAAUCUAGGCUCAUCAUCGCUUCCUCGUAGUUCGUAGGUUCAUCAUGGUCUAGUAACAUGACUUCCAAAACAGGAUUACCGUACCACUCUGGUGCAGAUCUUACUCUCGAAGACCUACGAGGUUCUGUAGUAACUUGAUCUGAAGCUUCAGGAUCAUCAUAAUUAGCUUNNNNNNNNNNNNNNNNNNNNNNNNNNNNNNNNNNNNNNNNNNNNNNNNNNNNNNNNNNNNNNNNNNNNNNNNNNNNNNNNNNNNNNNNNNNNNNNNNNNNNNNNNNNNNNNNNNNNNNNNNNNNNNNNNNNNNNNNNNNNNNNNNNNNNNNNNNNNNNNNNNNNNNNNNNNNNNNNNNNNNNNNNNNNNNNNNNNNNNNNNNNNNNNNNNNNNNNNNNNNNNNNNNNNNNNNNNNNNNNNNNNNNNNNNNNNNNNNNNNNNNNNNNNNNNNNNNNNNNNNNNNNNNNNNNNNNNNNNNNNNNNNNNNNNNNNNNNNNNNNNNNNNNNNNNNNNNNNNNNNNNNNNNNNNNNNNNNNNNNNNNNNNNNNNNNNNNNNNNNNNNNNNNNNNNNNNNNNNNNNNNNNNNNNNNNNNNNNNNNNNNNNNNNNNNNNNNNNNNNNNNNNNNNNNNNNNNNNNNNNNNNNNNNNNNNNNNNNNNNNNNNNNNNNNNNNNNNNNNNNNNNNNNNNNNNNNNNNNNNNNNNNNNNNNNNNNNNNNNNNNNNNNNNNNNNNNNNNNNNNNNNNNNNNNNNNNNNNNNNNNNNNNNNNNNNNNNNNNNNNNNNNNNNNNNNNNNNNNNNNNNNNNNNNNNNNNNNNNNNNNNNNNNNNNNNNNNNNNNNNNNNNNNNNNNNNNNNNNNNNNNNNNNNNNNNNNNNNNNNNNNNNNNNNNNNNNNNNNNNNNNNNNNNNNNNNNNNNNNNNNNNNNNNNNNNNNNNNNNNNNNNNNNNNNNNNNNNNNNNNNNNNNNNNNNNNNNNNNNNNNNNNNNNNNNNNNNNNNNNNNNNNNNNNNNNNNNNNNNNNNNNNNNNNNNNNNNNNNNNNNNNNNNNNNNNNNNNNNNNNNNNNNNNNNNNNNNNNNNNNNNNNNNNNNNNNNNNNNNNNNNNNNNNNNNNNNNNNNNNNNNNNNNNNNNNNNNNNNNNNNNNNNNNNNNNNNNNNNNNNNNNNNNNNNNNNNNNNNNNNNNNNNNNNNNNNNNNNNNNNNNNNNNNNNNNNNNNNNNNNNNNNNNNNNNNNNNNNNNNNNNNNNNNNNNNNNNNNNNNNNNNNNNNNNNNNNNNNNNNNNNNNNNNNNNNNNNNNNNNNNNNNNNNNNNNNNNNNNNNNNNNNNNNNNNNNNNNNNNNNNNNNNNNNNNNNNNNNNNNNNNNNNNNNNNNNNNNNNNNNNNNNNNNNNNNNNNNNNNNNNNNNNNNNNNNNNNNNNNNNNNNNNNNNNNNNNNNNNNNNNNNNNNNNNNNNNNNNNNNNNNNNNNNNNNNNNNNNNNNNNNNNNNNCUGGCACCAAAUAACAAUUAUUCAGGUCUAAAAUUUUAAUCCCGAUGGUAGAUGUAGAGGUAGUGUGCCGACCACGAUCACAUCGACUUUGGAAACAUUUCCCACGCGCAUCGUUACCUCGUCCUUAGCCAAUCUUCGCUUAAUCCGCAGCCCCUGUUUCGAGUUGCAAAUAUGAGUAACAGAACCAGUAUCAAAUACCCAGGCGCUACUGCGAGCAUUAGUUAAGUACACAUCAAUAACAUGUAUAUCAAAUAUACCUUUCACUUUGCCAUCCUUCGUAUCCGCCAAAUACUUGGGGCAGUUCCACUUUUAGUGACCAGUCCCUUUGCAGUAAAAGCACUUAGUUUCAGGCUUAGCUCCAGACUUGGGUUUCUUCUUGAGCAGCAAACUUUUUGCCAUUCUUCUUGAAGUUCCCUUUCUUCCCUUUGCCCUUUUUCUUGAAACUAGUCGUCUUAUUGACCAUCAACACGUGAUGCUCCUUUUUGAUUUCUACCUCCGCGGCCUUUAGCAUCGCGAAGAGCUCGGGAAUAGUCUUGUUCAUCCCUUGCAUAUUAUAUUUCAUCACGAAGCUUUUGAAGCUUGGUGCCAAUGAUUGAAGAACUCUGUCAAUGACACUAUCGUCAGCAAGAUUAACUCCCAGUUGAGUCAAGUGGUUGUGGUACCCAGACAUUCUGAGUAUGUGUUCACUGACAAAACUAUUCUCCUCCAUUUUACAGUUGUAGAACUUAUUGGAGACUUCAUAUCUCUCAAUCCGGGCAUUUGACUAAAAUAUUAACAUCAACUCCUGCAACAUCUCAUAUGCUCCAUGACGUUCAAAACAUCGUUGAAGUCCAGGUUCUAAGCCGUAAAGCAUGGCACACUAAACUAUCGAGUAGUCAUCAACACGCGUCUGCCAGGCAUUCACAAUGUCUGCAGUUGCGGGCGCGGGUGGUACACCUAACGGUGUUUCCAAGACGUAAUUCUUCUGUGCAGCAAUGAGGAUAAGCCUCAAGUUACGGACCCAGUCUGUGUAGUUGUUGCCAUCAUCUUUCAACUUAGCUUUCUCUAGGAACGCAUUAAAAUUCAAAGGAACGGUAGCACGGGCCAUUGAUCUACAACAACACAGACAUGCAAAAUACUAUCAGGUACUAAGUUCAUGACAAAUUAAAGUUCAAUUAAUCAUAUUACUUAAGAACUCCCACUUAGAUAGACAUCCCUCUAAUCAUCUAAGUUAUCACGUGAUCCAAAUCAACUAAACCAUGUCCGAUCAUCACGUGAGAUGGAGUAGUUUUCAAUGGUGAACAUCACUAUGUUGAUCAUAUCUACUAUAUGAUUCACGUUCGACCUUUCGGUGUCAGUGUUGUGAGGCCAUAUCUGCAUAUGUUAGGCUUGUCAAGUUUAAUCUGAGUAUUCUGCAUGUGCAACACUGGCUUGCACCCGUUGUAUGUGAAUGUAGAGCUUAUCACACCCGAUCAUCAUGUGGUGUCUCGGCACGAUGAACUGUAGCAGCGGUGCAUACUCAGGGAGAACACUUGUACCUUGAAAUUUAGUAAGGGAUCAUCUUAUCAUGCUACCGACGUUCUAAGCAAAAUAAGAUGCAUAAAGGAUAAACAUCACAUGCAAUCAAAAUAUGUGACAUGAUAUGGCCAUCAUCAUCUUGUGCUCAUGAUCUCCAUCACUGAAGCAUCGUCAUGAUCUCCAACGUCAACGACGCGACACCUUGAUCUCCAUCGUAGCAUCGUUGUCGUCUUGCCACCUAUUGUUACUAUGAUUAUCGCUACUGCUUAGUGAUGAAGUAAAACAAUUACAUGGCGAUUGCAUUGCAUACAAUAAAGUGACAACCAUAUGGCUCCUGCCAGUUGCCGAUAACUUUGUUACAAAACAUGAUCAUCUCAUACAAGAAUUUAUAUCACAUCAUGCUUGCCCAUAUCACAUCAUAGCAAACCCUGCAAAAACAAGUUAGACGUCCUCUACUUUGUUGUUGCAAGUUNNNNNNNNNNNNNNNNNNNNNNNNNNNNNNNNNNNNNNNNNNNNNNNNNNNNNNNNNNNNNNNNNNNNNNNNNNNNNNNGAAUCAAAGUAUGACAUGCUGGUAAGCAGUAUGACUAUUGUUGCCCACAACUCUUCGAGUUAUACUCAUGCAUAUAACAUCUACACAUAGACCUGGCUCAAAUGCCACUGUUGGGGAAUGCAGCAAUUUCAAAAAAAUUCCUACGAUCAUGCAAGAUCUAUCUAUGUGAUGCAUAGCAAUGAGAGGGGAGAGUGUGUCCACGUACCCUCGUAGACCGAAAGCGGAAGCAUUUAGUUAACGCGGUUGAUGUAGUCGAACAUCUUCGCAAUCCAACCGAUCCAAGUACCGAAUGUACGGCCCCUCCGCGUUAAGCACACGUUCAUCCCGAGGACGUCCCUCAUACUCUUGAUCCAUUUGAGGCUGAUGGAGAGUUUCGUCAGCACGACAGCAUGGUGAUGAUGAUGAUGAAGUUACCGGCGCAGGGCUUUGCCUAAGCACUAUGACAAUAUGACAGAGGUGUGUAACUGUGGAGGGGGGCACCGCACAUGGCUAAACAAUGUCAACUUGUGUGUUUAUGGGGUGCCCCCCUCCCCCGUAUAUAAAGGAGUGGAGGAGGUGGGAGGGUCGGCCCUCUAUGGCGCGCCCUGUAGGAGUCCUACUCCCUACGAGAGUAGGAUCCCCCCCCAACUUCCCUAGUUGGACUAGGAGAGGAAGGAAGGGGGAGGAAGGAGGAAGGAAAGAGGGGCCGACCCCCACCCAAUUCGGAUCGGGCUUGGGGGGGUGCCCCCUCCUAGGCUUCCUUCUCCUCUAUCCCACUAUCACUACUAGGGAAAACCCUAGUAGUAGCGCGGGUUUAAUGCCCACUAGUAGUGCGGGCCACCGCGCUACUAAUAAGGCGCUACAACUAUUACUUAGCUGUAGCGUGUGCGACACACGCUACUGCUAAGACAUAUAGCCGCAACGUUUGUUCUCUCCCGCGCUGCUGCUAAUCUAGCUAGUAGCAGCGUGUUUACUGUCCAUCGCUACUAGUAUUCUUUUUCAAUUUUUUUAUUUUGAGUGUAUUUAUAUGUCGUUAUACAAAUUUUGGUACAAUACCAAUUAUGAGGUUUAUAUCAUUAUGUCCAUAACCGUGUGUCAAAUGAAGGUGGAUUAGGUUCAAGUGGAGGCAAUAUGUGGUGCGUGUCAAAAGUAUACUACUAAUCCAAACUUGAUCUAGUUUGGACUAGUAGUACUUUCGAUGUGCACCACAUGUUGCCUCCACUUGAAUCUAAUCCGCUAGCACAAGCUAUUUAAUCAUCAUCAUAGUCAUUACCACCAACAGUAGUCAUUUAAUCAUCAUAGUCAUAGUGUAGCACAUUAUCAUCUUCAAACACAUUCUAGCUAGCUAAUCACCACCAACACUAGCUGUGGUAGCUAUCUAAUCACCACCAACACUAGCUAAUAAUAAUCAUCAUAGUCAUUACCACCAACACUAGUUAUUUAAUCAUCAUAGUCAUAGUGUAGUACAUCAUCAUCUUCAAACUCAUUUCUAUCUAGCUAAUCACUCAUGUUGCUCUCUCUCAGCUAAAAUAACAUAAAACAUGUGUAGCACUCCUGCUUCAUCAAGUUGGAGCAUGCAAAUGGACCAGUCUCCUAAUCAUGGGCUGCACUUCUGAUUGCUGCCCCCUAGUACUUCUCUGUGAUCGUUCACAAUUUUGCUCCAUUCUUUCACUAUUAAGCAUUCCUCGCUAUUAGAAAUCCUAAAUGCACUAAAGUGCAUUGUAGGAUAUCUUGGCCGUAAGCUAACAAUUCUCGUGCGACCUUUAGUCUCGAUCCAAUGAGGCACAACAUUCAUCGGGAGUCCCUGUUGAAGAAUAUCAUAUAGUAACAUACUUAGNNNNNNNNNNCUGGCACCAAAUAACAAUUAUUCAGGUCUAAAAUUUUAAUCCCGAUGGUAGAUGUAGAGGUAGUGUGCCGACCACGAUCACAUCGACUUUGGAAACAUUUCCCACGCGCAUCGUUACCUCGUCCUUAGCCAAUCUUCGCUUAAUCCGCAGCCCCUGUUUCGAGUUGCAAAUAUGAGUAACAGAACCAGUAUCAAAUACCCAGGCGCUACUGCGAGCAUUAGUUAAGUACACAUCAAUAACAUGUAUAUCAAAUAUACCUUUCACUUUGCCAUCCUUCGUAUCCGCCAAAUACUUGGGGCAGUUCCACUUUUAGUGACCAGUCCCUUUGCAGUAAAAGCACUUAGUUUCAGGCUUAGCUCCAGACUUGGGUUUCUUCUUGAGCAGCAAACUUUUUGCCAUUCUUCUUGAAGUUCCCUUUCUUCCCUUUGCCCUUUUUCUUGAAACUAGUCGUCUUAUUGACCAUCAACACGUGAUGCUCCUUUUUGAUUUCUACCUCCGCGGCCUUUAGCAUCGCGAAGAGCUCGGGAAUAGUCUUGUUCAUCCCUUGCAUAUUAUAUUUCAUCACGAAGCUUUUGAAGCUUGGUGCCAAUGAUUGAAGAACUCUGUCAAUGACACUAUCGUCAGCAAGAUUAACUCCCAGUUGAGUCAAGUGGUUGUGGUACCCAGACAUUCUGAGUAUGUGUUCACUGACAAAACUAUUCUCCUCCAUUUUACAGUUGUAGAACUUAUUGGAGACUUCAUAUCUCUCAAUCCGGGCAUUUGACUAAAAUAUUAACAUCAACUCCUGCAACAUCUCAUAUGCUCCAUGACGUUCAAAACAUCGUUGAAGUCCAGGUUCUAAGCCGUAAAGCAUGGCACACUAAACUAUCGAGUAGUCAUCAACACGCGUCUGCCAGGCAUUCACAAUGUCUGCAGUUGCGGGCGCGGGUGGUACACCUAACGGUGUUUCCAAGACGUAAUUCUUCUGUGCAGCAAUGAGGAUAAGCCUCAAGUUACGGACCCAGUCUGUGUAGUUGUUGCCAUCAUCUUUCAACUUAGCUUUCUCUAGGAACGCAUUAAAAUUCAAAGGAACGGUAGCACGGGCCAUUGAUCUACAACAACACAGACAUGCAAAAUACUAUCAGGUACUAAGUUCAUGACAAAUUAAAGUUCAAUUAAUCAUAUUACUUAAGAACUCCCACUUAGAUAGACAUCCCUCUAAUCAUCUAAGUUAUCACGUGAUCCAAAUCAACUAAACCAUGUCCGAUCAUCACGUGAGAUGGAGUAGUUUUCAAUGGUGAACAUCACUAUGUUGAUCAUAUCUACUAUAUGAUUCACGUUCGACCUUUCGGUGUCAGUGUUGUGAGGCCAUAUCUGCAUAUGUUAGGCUUGUCAAGUUUAAUCUGAGUAUUCUGCAUGUGCAACACUGGCUUGCACCCGUUGUAUGUGAAUGUAGAGCUUAUCACACCCGAUCAUCAUGUGGUGUCUCGGCACGAUGAACUGUAGCAGCGGUGCAUACUCAGGGAGAACACUUGUACCUUGAAAUUUAGUAAGGGAUCAUCUUAUCAUGCUACCGACGUUCUAAGCAAAAUAAGAUGCAUAAAGGAUAAACAUCACAUGCAAUCAAAAUAUGUGACAUGAUAUGGCCAUCAUCAUCUUGUGCUCAUGAUCUCCAUCACUGAAGCAUCGUCAUGAUCUCCAACGUCAACGACGCGACACCUUGAUCUCCAUCGUAGCAUCGUUGUCGUCUUGCCACCUAUUGUUACUAUGAUUAUCGCUACUGCUUAGUGAUGAAGUAAAACAAUUACAUGGCGAUUGCAUUGCAUACAAUAAAGUGACAACCAUAUGGCUCCUGCCAGUUGCCGAUAACUUUGUUACAAAACAUGAUCAUCUCAUACAAGAAUUUAUAUCACAUCAUGCUUGCCCAUAUCACAUCAUAGCAAACCCUGCAAAAACAAGUUAGACGUCCUCUACUUUGUUGUUGCAAGUUUUUACGUGGCUGCUACGGGCUUCUAGCAAGAACCGUUCUUACCUAUGCAUCAAAACCACAACAAUUUUUCGUCAAGUGUGCUGUUUUAACCUUCAAAAAGGAUCGGGCGUAGCCACACUUGAUUCAACUAAAGUUGGAGAAACAGACACUCACCAGCCACCUAUGUGCAAAGCACGUCGGUAGAACCAGUCUCGCGUAAGCGUAUGCGUAAUGUCGGUUUGAGCCGCUUCAUCCAACAAUACCGCUGAAUCAAAGUAUGACAUGCUGGUAAGCAGUAUGACUAUUGUUGCCCACAACUCUUCGAGUUAUACUCAUGCAUAUAACAUCUACACAUAGACCUGGCUCAAAUGCCACUGUUGGGGAAUGCAGCAAUUUCAAAAAAAUUCCUACGAUCAUGCAAGAUCUAUCUAUGUGAUGCAUAGCAAUGAGAGGGGAGAGUGUGUCCACGUACCCUCGUAGACCGAAAGCGGAAGCAUUUAGUUAACGCGGUUGAUGUAGUCGAACAUCUUCGCAAUCCAACCGAUCCAAGUACCGAAUGUACGGCCCCUCCGCGUUAAGCACACGUUCAUCCCGAGGACGUCCCUCAUACUCUUGAUCCAUUUGAGGCUGAUGGAGAGUUUCGUCAGCACGACAGCAUGGUGAUGAUGAUGAUGAAGUUACCGGCGCAGGGCUUUGCCUAAGCACUAUGACAAUAUGACAGAGGUGUGUAACUGUGGAGGGGGGCACCGCACAUGGCUAAACAAUGUCAACUUGUGUGUCUAUGGGGUGCCCCCCUCCCCCGUAUAUAAAGGAGUGGAGGAGGUGGGAGGGUCGGCCCUCUAUGGCGCGCCCUGUAGGAGUCCUACUCCCUACGAGAGUAGGAUCCCCCCCAACUUCCCUAGUUGGACUAGGAGAGGAAGGAAGGGGGAGGAAGGAGGAAGGAAAGAGGGGCCGACCCCCACCCAAUUUGGAUCGGGCUUGGGGGGGUGCCCCCUCCUAGGCUUCCUUCUCCUCUAUCCCACUAUCACUACUAGGGAAAACCCUAGUAGUAGCGCGGGUUUAAUGCCCACUAGUAGUGCGGGCCACCGCGCUACUAAUAAGGCGCUACAACUAUUACUUAGCUGUAGCGUGUGCGACACACGCUACUGCUAAGACAUAUAGCCGCAACGUUUGUUCUCUCCCGCGCUGCUGCUAAUCUAGCUAGUAGCAGCGUGUUUACUGUCCAUCGCUACUAGUAUUCUUUUUCAAUUUUUUUAUUUUGAGUGUAUUUAUAUGUCGUUAUACAAAUUUUGUUACAAUACCAAUUAUGAGGUUUAUAUCAUUAUGUCCAUAACCGUGUGUCAAAUGAAGGUGGAUUAGGUUCAAGUGGAGGCAAUAUGUGGUGCGUGUCAAAAGUAUACUACUAAUCCAAACUUGAUCUAGUUUGGACUAGUAGUACUUUCGAUGUGCACCACAUGUUGCCUCCACUUGAAUCUAAUCCGCUAGCACAAGCUAUUUAAUCAUCAUCAUAGUCAUUACCACCAACAGUAGUCAUUUAAUCAUCAUAGUCAUAGUGUAGCACAUUAUCAUCUUCAAACACAUUCUAGCUAGCUAAUCACCACCAACACUAGCUGUGGUAGCUAUCUAAUCACCACCAACACUAGCUAAUAAUAAUCAUCAUAGUCAUUACCACCAACACUAGUUAUUUAAUCAUCAUAGUCAUAGUGUAGUACAUCAUCAUCUUCAAACUCAUUUCUAUCUAGCUAAUCACUCAUGUUGCUCUCUCUCAGCUAAAAUAACAUAAAACAUGUGUAGCACUCCUGCUUCAUCAAGUUGGAGCAUGCAAAUGGACCAGUCUCCUAAUCAUGGGCUGCACUUCUGAUUGCUGCCCCCUAGUACUUCUCUGUGAUCGUUCACAAUUUUGCUCCAUUCUUUCACUAUUAAGCAUUCCUCGCUAUUAGAAAUCCUAAAUGCACUAAAGUGCAUUGUAGGAUAUCUUGGCCGUAAGCUAACAAUUCUCGUGCGACCUUUAGUCUCGAUCCAAUGAGGCACAACAUUCAUCGGGAGUCCCUGUUGAAGAAUAUCAUAUAGUAACAUACUUAGNNNNNNNNNNNNNNNNNNNNNNNNNNNNNNNNNNNNNNNNNNNNNNNNNNNNNNNNNNNNNNNNNNNNNNNNNNNNNNNNNNNNNNNNNNNNNNNNNNNNCAUUGGGUCAAAGUUGUGACACAGUGUACAAAUAAAGAAAAAUAGAUUGGUCUUCUUUCAGAAAAGAGUAAUCCCUAGAAAACUGCCAAUAUAAGCUACUAGUAUUUGGUUAGAGGAUUUGCUGCCGAGAAAGAUCCGUCCACAGAGAGCGCCACACAUCCCACUGGUUGUGGUGGAUGCCAAUGCGUGCAUGCAGCAUGGUUGGUGUCGGUAAUUUUUACUUGGCACACCUCGCACUCUGCAUAUAUGUCGGUUCCAUACGUACAUUUAUGCAGUUCCACCAAAAUGCAGUUGAAUAACCCUGUUUGCACAUAUAAUAAAAAAGCGUGAUUACAUUAUAGUAGCACUAGUUGAUGAAACACACAAAAUAAAUAGAAGAAAAUAUUGUGAUAGUAUCAUAGUAUGCCAUGCUGCGAGGGCGAGAUGGGCCCUGCGACGCCUCAUACGGUACGCCUCAUACUGGACAUCGUCCCAAGUCUCCCAGAUACACCUUCUUCCAGUGAUGAACAUCAGUGUACAGCAGUAGUACAAGGAGGCGCCUUGAGACAUUCAAAUCUCUAUUUUUGUACAUAUCAACUAAAAUUAAGCACCCCAGUUUGCAGAAACGCCUAAACAUUAACAAUGGGACUAGUUGAUGAAACAUACUUUAACAAAGAGAAGCACUUUCUUUAUCUACAUUGGAAUGAAAUGAUAGAGAUGACACUCGCUCUAUUUAACUGUAUUAUUACUUCAUUUUAUCAGUGACACUAGGGUCGAGCAGGUGGCAAACGAGGUGUACCGUGCGUCGCAAGGAUGGAGGCCGGGGGUGCUUAGACUGGGAUGCUGAAGCCGGCUCUUUCAGUCACCAACAUGGAUGAUUCAAUUCAUGGGCCCUUUUGGUGCAGUGCACCUAAAAUGAAGCAAUGUCCCGUGAGCUAGCAGCUUCUUCAAAAAAAAAUUAAGAAAAGGGCUCCAGCCCCGGUUCCAUUUCCAUCAGAAAAAGAAACCCACAGAGCUUCUUCUUCAUUAGUUGCAAUAAAAUUGAGCAACAUCAAGUUGGUUGUGAAGCUCCUGGAAUACUCAACUAUAAUUUGGAUAUCAUUUGUGCAGUUCAACUAAGAUCGAGCGUGAAAUGUAUAUCUCUGUUAGCACAAAAAAGGUGGAAAGGAGGGUGACUAACAAGUGAUGAAACAUGCAUCAAAUGAAAAGAAGCAUGUUCCUUAUCUGAAUGGCAAUCCUACAAGGACAGUAGCAAUUUCUAAAGCAGUGGCAUUGCUAGAUAUUAGUGUGGGCAUUAGGAUUAACUAUGACAACCGUUAAAUACGACAUUACUUUGGGCACGGGAGAGUAGGCAGACCAGGACAGUUGCAUUUCUAACGAAAAGAACCAACUUAUCUUAAUGGGAAAUUUUAGCAGGACAUGUAAAGAAGUGCCAUUGAUUCAUAUUACUGGAGGCGUUACAUUGAAAACAACAUUGGUUUAACGUGUCCUUACUUUUAACAGUGCGACUACUACAUUUUACCAGUGGCAUUACAUAAGAGUGGCUCGGGGCAACAAACCUGAGAACAGGAUAUCUGGGUUGGUCCCAUUUUCUGCGGUAUAGCCACCUUAUACUGUGUGAGACUAGCAAAUCUAGUGCUGGAUUUACUAUGUUGACUUGUCCCCCAGUUUCCACUUUCUUACCUUUUUCAACCAGUAGAUCGGGUUUAUAUUGAGUUUGUACUGCGUUUCCCUUUAUUUCCCUAUUAGACAUAGAGACCAGUUGGAUAGCCAGUCUCUGCUACUUUUCGCCCCCAUUAUUUCCUCUUUCGACCAAGUCCUAGAUUCAGGUAACAAAUCCUCCCCCACCCGCCACCCCCUUUCUUCCUUGUUUGAACCAAGUAGUACUAGAUUCGAGUGCAUGAACUAAAUUUACCUCUUAAACGUAAAAAAAAUUAGGUGGUUUUCAAACAGCCGAUCGAUCCUAUCUACGAGGGGGCCUGAGAAAUAGUAAAAGUUACAAAUGCAGCGACGUCAAGAGCUCGGGAAGUAGAGAAAGGCCGGUUUCAAAGGAAGUUAUACCUGAUGGUCGCCAGGAUGUCGCUAGGUGGGCGGCGGGAGGCCAGAUCUGCCCACACUACGACAGCGAGGAAGAAGGGGUCGGAGGCCCUCCCUCGCCAGCGGUGCUUGGGAGAGAACGGCAAGGCAGGCUGAUCGGGACGCGCCCAGCAGUGGGUAAGAGCCGUCGCCGAGGACGACCGCAUGAACGUUGCACCUUCUCACCUUCCCCGACGGAGAGGAUCCGGCUGGAUCUGUGACCAGCGGUGAGUAGAGAGAGAGAGAGUGUGGCCACCGCUGUCGUGUUUAGAUCUGGAGAGGCCGAGACGGUGUGAAGAGAGCAACACUAGCAAGCAAGCGCGGAGGCUCCUGUCUAUAUGGUGGAGUAGUACUUAGUUUUAUUUUGUCUACCGGAGCCGGCUUGACCUCAUCAAUGAUUGUCGAGAAGUCUUCAUGCACGUGGCCCGGAGGCGCAGUUGUCGUCAUUUUGAUCUGAAGCGCCGGAUUAUAACAUAUAACAUAAAAAAUGCCACAUGACAAGAAAUCAUAACCUCACUGCCCAAAGGAGACAACAUGAAUCCCGACGGACAAACUAGACGAGGAACAAAUCUCAAAUUAAAGAUAAACUCGUAUAAAAGGGGUCCGUCGAUAGAUGUCCUAAUUAACAUAGCGGGCUUGACCUAGAUGGCAGCCGAGUAGUCACUAUUCGUGCAUGUGCCCCCAAUGACUAGCCCAACUCAGUUGUCGUUGUUUAACCCUCGCAGUGAUCCGAAGCACAUGACACAUAAUUUUAUGAGAUGACAAGAAACCUUUUUUUAGAUUUUUCACCACAACUACAGCCAUACAACACAGCCUGCACGAUAUGUAGACGAUAGCCAAUCCAGGCGUGUCUGCUAGAGUCUGGUCACAUGCAUGGAUGAACUGAUCUUCCGUGUCUUGCAGGGAUCGUCCAGGCACCAACGUAGUACAACACUUCUCUAGUACUAUCGCUCGUCUCCCUCUUCUAUUAAGUCACCCGACUUGCGGGGCCGGGGAGUGUGCCUAUGGUCGGUUCUCAAUUGCCGUCCCACAUGUGUGUGCGAACGCAAUAUGACGCUUGUUCCAUUCGGAGAGCAGCGUGCCAGACCGACCGACCGUCUGGUGUGCGACGCGAACGCGACGUGCGUGCUGUAUACUCCGUACAUGUGUACCGUUGUUUUCUAGACGAUUUGCUCCAUGGCGUGGGCGCAAUCCAUGGAUACAAAAUUAGUAUACUAUAUACUAUUUAAAAGUCGACGGCGGGGCUUUUCCUGCCCAGUAGGCGGCGGGACAGUUCCGCCUAGUCGGUUCGACAGAGACGCGAGAAGACGAGGGAGUAGGCUGCUGCAAACGUAGGGAUGUGUGAUUUGACAGCGAGUUACUGUUGGACAGGUGGGGCCCCGUGAUUUGACUUGCCAUUAUCAUUUUAACUGCGGCGCUACGACCGGCGUGAGUCUUCCGAUUCCUGACCACCUCCAUACAGGUGCCUCUCCCAAUGCUCCACCAUGUAGUAGUAGAGGCUGGCUCUUGCAUGAGAGCCUACUUCUCCAUUUUUUCCUUGCCUUUCUUUCCUCCAUAUAUGCAAAAAUGCCAUGUAAAGCACACUAUUGUACUUACUUGCUGCUACAGGUGCUUAAGCUUGCCACAUAGGCAUAAAGUCUGAUGUGGCAAGUUAAUCAAGAAGAGAGAGACUAGUUUGGUGACCCAAGGAAGAAACGGUGCUAAGCGCGUGUACCUAGAUGAAAAGACAAUUUUGAGUCUAUAGCUAAUUAAAUGAAGCAAACUUAGCAACACCAUUUCGUUGGAAGAGGUCACUCCUUGGCAAAUGCAAUCUAUCUAUACCUAUACUAAUUACAGACUCCCAAAAAAUUACCACGUUAAUUAAAUUUUAUGAGUCGUUCAUCUGGUGGGAC
rnacentral:lncRNA from 1 species